rnacentral:lncRNA from 1 species
UUUUUUUUUUUUUUUGUCGUAACCGCACAUCUAGUCUAACCUAACCUACUCCUUCUCCUGCCUCGGGGGGAGGGGGAGAGAAUCUACUCUAUGGGGUGGUCCAACUGAACCAGGGGAACAUGACGGGGACUGAACCACCAUCAGACCAAAUGGGUGCACCACACAUCAGUAUGAAUUUAGAACCACCAUCUAAUUGUAAGGUUUAAGCGUGAAUUAAUUGAUUUAUUGUUCCCCUUAGAAGGACAAUGGUUGUGGUGGAGAUUGGAAAUGUUUAGAAAAGGAGAAUAUGAGGAAAAGGUCAACAGGUGAGAAGGAAAGAUAUUUCAUUGAAAGUGAGGCAUAAAACGAGUAGUAUGAGAUGACUAGCAAUAAAACGAGUAGUAUGAGAUAACUAGCAAUAGAAGGGAAGUGAGGUUAGGAGUGAGAGAAGAUGAGAGAUAGGGGAAAGAAAAGGUGAUAAUAGGAGGUAGAAGGUGGAUAGGAUUAGGUAGAAAUGGAGUAGAAAAGAGAUAAAACUGGAUGGAGGGGCAAGUAGUAGCAGUACGAAGCCACAAAAAUGCAAAGAGGAUGGGAAAGAAAGAAAGAUAUUUUUUAUUAAGAUUACUUUUUUCAAAUUUUAGAAUCAAAUUUGAGAUUCAUCAAAAUCUCUAAAGUGGGUACUAAGAGGUGCUGGCUUUAUAGAUUUUAUUCUAAGAUUUUAAUACAUAUACUUAUUAGCCACGCAAUAAGUAUGAGAGUCAUUUUAAUUCUCAUUCCAAUAUUUUUCAAUGAAGUACCCCUAACAAGUUAAAAAAAUAAAGAACAAAACUCAAACAUAUGUUAAAAUAAAAAAAAUUCUAAUUAUCAUAAUAAGGGUUAAAUACUCAAGAAUAAAUAUAGAGAAGGAAAAAAAAAUCUUACAAACUGAGUAAACAAAAUAGAGAAACCACAAGAAGAAAAGAAAUAAUCACCUUUAAAAGUAGAAGUGAAACUAAUAGGGAACUUAAACUCCACUCUGCAAUUAGAUUCUCACAACACUAUUUCAUGACAAGUGAUGAUACAAACCCAAAAUUUGAAUCCUUGGAUCGAAUGUGGACAUUUGACGUGGCAUACAUGUCAGAAAAGUCAAAUCACAGUCUUACGUUUUUUUUUUUUUACUCAUUUUUCUCUUUGUUUCACUCUUCUCUGUCUUUUUUCACUGUGACUACUUCCCAAUUUCUCUUUUUUCCUUCUCCACCAUCUCUAUCACCAGUCAAUACUAUUUUCUUCCUAGAUAUACAAACUAGCUCUCCUACAUCCUAACGGAAGAUAUAGAAGGAGAUACUUAUUGAAUAAAGAAGAAGCACACAUAACUAAAUAGAAAUAACUUAACAUUUAAACUAUCCAAAAUCUCAAUUUUAUCAUGAAUCAAAUCUUCGUAUUUGUUUGACAAAUAAAUUUUUUCGUUACUACAUCUCGAAUUUGCAAACAAACCAACAAAAUCAUCUUUCUAAUACUAAUUUAAUAACCUUUUAUGGUAGUCAACCAGAAUCAAAGCCUUUAAUUAUUGUAAUUGUCUACGGCAUUUUAGGCAAAAUAGGUUGAGGGCAAAAAAAUAGAAAGAGCCAUUGUUUAGGCAUUUUAGGAAGAAGUUUUACCGGUAUGAGUAAACUAGUUUAUGAUAUGAUAAAAGGGAAUUGAUGUCGGGAGAGAUCCGAAAAAUAUCUCAAAAAUACUUAAUCCAUACGAAUCAUAGGUUGUGCUACCAAUCAAGGUGGGUAAUGUUUUUAGAAUUGAAAAUUGCUAAAAUUAACUCAAAAGGGGGAUCAAAAAAGUUAUCUAUGUAGUGCCACAUCAAUUGGCCGUUAUAAUGUCCAAAUGACCCAUUUAGACUGUUUAUCAUUUUCCUUUCAUAAUUCAUCUUCCUCAAUUAUCAUCUUCUUAUAAUAAUAUUCCAUGCAAAUCUAGUUUUUGUUUUCCUUCUCCCUCCACCAUCUAUAGGCACUUAAUCUAUUCACUUUUUAUGAUUAGUCAUACACAUACUAGAAAUAGCAAGAAAUUAUACGAAUAGAUGUUCAUGAAAAUUACUUAGAUUCACAAUUCCGUUUCAAUUUGCAAAUAGCAAUUUCUAGACUUUUUUUCCCUUUUGCAUAUGGACAUUGAUAGCUAAAUUUAUUGCUUUUCCCUUAUUUUUGGUACACAAUAAGAUUGUAGUUUAGUCUUUGAUAUUUAAUGGAGUUAUUUUGUUCAAUUAUAUGAAAUAUGUUUUUAGUGACAAGUUUUCUAGAUCAAAGACCGAAUGCCUCUUUUGUGCAUCUUUUCCAUUUAAAUAGAAAAACUCUGUACCUUCUCUCCUCCGUCAGAAUAUCUACCUCCCUAAUGUAUUAAUUACAUAUAUGCUAAUAUACAUCUAAUAUAGUAGACCAUAAUCAGCUCUGCUUGAUUAGUGCAAUUAGUAGACUAGAUCCCAUAAGCAGCUGUUCUUGUCUUUUGCUAGCAGAUCAGAUCUCAUAAUCAGUUGCUGCCCAUGACUUCCAUAAGCAGCUGUUCUUGACUUUUACUUUUGCUAGCAGGCUGUCCUUGACUUCCAUAAGCAGCUGUUCUUGACUUUUGCAUUUAGUAGACCAGAUCCCAUAAUCAACUACUGCCCUUGAUAUCCCCCCUCAAAUUGAUGCUGGUGGAUCAAAAAGCAUCAAUUUGUCAACCAGAAAAUUGUGUCUAUGACGGGAGAGAGCUUUAGUAAAUAUAUCAGCAGUUUGGAGAUCAGUGGUAAUAUGAGGAAGAGAAAUAACAUGAUCAUCAUAUGCUUCACGGAUAGAGUGACAAUCAACUUCAAUAUGUUUUGUACGCUCAUGGAAUACAGGAUUAGCAGCAAUGUGAAUAGCGCUAGUAUUAUCGGCAUGAAGGGGAGUAGGUGCAAGUUGGGGAAACCCAAGCUCACCUAAGAGGCCUCGAAGCCAAAUGAUCUCAGAACAUCCAGAGGACAUAGCACGAUACUCUGACUCAGUAGAGGAUUUAGACACCCUAUCUUGUUUUUUUGCUUUUCCAAGAAAUAAGAGAAUUUCCAAGAAACAUGCACCAACCAGUAAUUGAUCGUCUAGUAUCUGAACACCCUGCCCAGUCAGCGUCGCUAUAGGCUACCAAAUGAAUAGGAGAAUUUUUGGAGAAGAAAAGACCACGAGAGGAAGUGCCUAGUAAAUAGCGAAUAAUGUGACGAACAGCAGCUAGAUGGAGAUGCCUAGGCGUCUGCAUAAAUUGACUAACUUGUUGAACAGCAAAUGAAAUAUCAGGCCGAGUAAUAGUUAAAUAGUUAAGACUUCCCACCAAUUGCCGAUAGAGAGAGGGAUCUGAGAGAAAAUCACCCUCAUCACGGCGAUAUUUAACAUUUACUUCCAAGGGAGUAUCAACAGACCGACCAUCUUGAAGACCUGCCAAAGCAAUUAAUUCCUGGAUGUAUUUAUGUUGAUGUAAGAAAAUACCAGCUGAGGUAGAGUGCACUUCUAGGCCCAAAAAAUAUUGUAGAGGACCUAAAUCUUUCAUAUGAAAAGAACGUUGAAGAUGCUCAUGAAGUUGAGAGAUUAAUGCAGAGUCAUUUCCUGUGAUAACAAUAUCAUCAACAUAAACCAGAAGUAAAACCAGUCCCUUAUCAGUCUUGCGAAGAAACAAAGAGGAGUCAUACUGGCUCUGAACAAAUGAGAAGCUAAUAAGGGUAGAACGGAACUUAUCAAACCAAGCCCGUGGAGCUUGUUUUAAGCCAUAGAGUGAACGUUUUAGCUUACAAACAUCAGAAGAAGAUGUAAAAAAUAACCCUGAUGGUGGAGUCAUAUAAAUAUCUUCUUGAAGAUCGCCAUGUAAAAAGGCAUUCUUUACAUCCAUCUGUCGCAAUGACCAGCCUGUAGAAGCAGCAAUAGCUAGAACAAGUCUAACUGUUGUCAUCUUUGCCACAGGAGCAAAGGUCUCCUCAUAAUGUACUCCAUACUUUUGCCGAUUACCAAGAGCUACUAAUCGUGCCUUAUACCUUUCAAGUGAGCCAUCAGAUCUCAAUUUAACAGAAAACACCCAUUUACAACCAAUGGGUUUAACACCAUCGGGACAAGGAACAAGAUCCCAAGUAUGAUUCUCCUGAAGAGCUUGAAGUUCCUCAUUCAUAGCUUUCACCCAACAUGCUUGUUUAGCUGCCUGUAAAUAGGAUGUAGGAACUGUAGUGUCAGUUAUAGUGGCAGAAAAAUCAUACCGAUCAGGCGGACGACUAAGACGUAGGGACCUUCGAAGAGUGGUUGGAGCAAGGACUGGAUUAGUGUCAAGAAGAGGUUGUGAUGAAGAAGCCUGUCGUCUCUGAUAAACAAUCCCAGGUUUAAAUCGAUCAACUGGUGGGGCAAUAUCAUCAAAGUUAGGAAGAACAACACCUUCAGACGAGGAACCAUGGUAUGGAAAGUAGUGCUCAUUUUCAAAGAAAAUCACAUUUCUAGAAAUGUGUAGAUGAUUAGCAAUAGCAUCAUAACACAAAAAUCCUUUAUGAGUUGUACUAUAACCCAUGAAAGCACAUUUUACAGAUUGAGCUGUAAGUUUGUGACGCUCAUGAGGAGGUAAGUGAACAAAGCAAACACAUCCGAAUGUGUGUAGAUUGCCAUAAUCAGGAUGCACACCAAAAAGACGAUAAUAAGGAGAAUCAAAAUUCAAUUGUUGAGAAGGUAGACGAUUGAUCAAAUAAACUGCAGUGGAUAAAGCUUCCACCCAAAAUUUAGAUGGAACCGAAGACUGCAAGAGUAAGGUUCGUACCAUAUCUAACAAAUGGCGAUGCUUACGUUCAGCCACCCCAUUCUGUUGAGGGGUAUAAGAACAUGAUCGUUGAGAUAAAAUACCUCUCUGUUGCAAAAAUGCUUGAAAGGCAUGUGACAUAUAUUCCCCGCCAUUGUCAGAGCGUAAAACUUUAAUGCAAGUAGAAAAUUGUGUUUCUACAUAAGCUACAAAUUUCUUAAAAACAGCAAAUACUUCAGCUUUAGUACGCAAAAAAUAUACCCAUGUGAAACGACUAUAGUCAUCAAUGAAUGUCACAAAAUAUUUAUAUUGUGCAUGUGAAACAACAGGAGUAAUACCCCAAACAUCACUAUGAAUGAUCUCAAAACUUGUAUUAGCAUGACCACCAUGACUAGGAAAAGGUAAUAUUUUACUUUUCCCUAGUCUACAAGUAGAACAAUCAAAAGACAAUUUAUGAUUAAAACACUGAUCCUUGCUCCCCAGAAAAUCAUGCUUUAUUAAAUGAGAUAAAAUGACAUUAUUUGGAUGACCCAAUCGUUGAUGCCAUACUUCAACUUUAUUGUCAACAACCAUAGAAGCCAAAGACAAACUACUUGGAACUGAAAAUUGCAAAGGAAAUAGUCUGCCCACUUUAGGCCCCUUCGCAAUCACCUUCCCCGACACCUGGUCCUGCACAAGACAACCAUCACGAGAGAACCGUACAUCACAGUUAUUAUCCACCAUCUGACCAACAGAAAUCAAACUAGUAGACAACCCUGAAGAGACAAAUACAUGACGAAAAGAAGGUCCAAUAUCACCAAUGGCUGUAAUUGGAAGAUUACUGCCGUUAGCAAUCUGAAUAUUUUGUGUACCAGUAUAUUGCCGUAGAUUAUGUAGUGAUGCAGAUGAACCAGUCAUAUGAUUUGAUGCUCCAGAAUCAACUAACCAAGGAGUAGAAACAAUUUUACCUUGACCUUGAAGUCCAAGAGUAGAAAAUGCUGAAAGAAUCAUUUGUUGAACCAUUUCUGGAGUAAGUGUUGUGGCUGUGGAUGUAGAACCAAUAGUGUUAGAGUCUUGGACAGCACCUUGAAAGGCUUGGACUCUUCGAUUCUCAGGGCGUGUAGGACAGUCCUUGAUAAUGUGUCCAGUUUGCUUACAAUAAUUGCAAAAUUUCUUUCCACAAUUGCGUGCAAUAUGCCCAAGUUCCUUGCAACUAUAGCACUGUACUUGUCCCUUUCCGCGAUUCUUCCCUUGAGCAGCAUAGGCAAUAUUGACAACUUCAGAUAUCUCCUUUGAUGUACCUAUGAUAGUUUGUGUAGCCAUUCUCUGUUCUUCUCGCAACAAGUCACCAAGACAUACGUCUAAAGAAGGAACUGGGUUUCUAUUUAACAAUCCAGCUCUAAUCGCCUCAAAUUCAGGCCUCAGUUUCAUUAGAAACUGGUCACGCUUACUAUCUUCGUGAACCGCUUGAAUACCGGCUAAGGCUUCGCUUGGUACCUUAGAAUAGAUUAUACCAGAGUAUUCACUCCAUAAAUUAAGAAAUCCAGAAUAAUACUGCUCAAUAGAGAGAUUACCUUGGCUACAUGUACUAAUUUCCAAUUCAAGCUGAAAUUUUCUUGCUGUAUUAUCUUGAUGAUAUACACGCUUCAAAUGAUCCCACAUCUCCUUUGCUGUAUUAAAGGAGCGUAAAUUGUUCACCAUAUGAGCUUCAAUAGAUGCUAGAAUCCAAGAAAUAAUUCUAGCAUCCUUUGCCUCCCAUUGACUAAUUUCCUUUCCAUCUCUAGGUGCUGUAGAAGACCCGUCAAUAUGACUCCAAAGCUCUUUGCCUUUUAGAAACAUCCUAAAUUGAAAUUCCCAUGCCGCAUAAUUUUUUCCAGUGAACUUGAUGGACAAAGAUUCCGUAUGUAUUUUUUCCAAAGAGUUUUCCAUAGACAUUCUUUCAAAAAAACAAAGAUCUGAAUUACAAGAAAAGCUGCCAACCACAAUAUGAUUGACCCAAAAGGAUAUCUUGAAACCAAAUGAUUGAUCAAAAUAAUCAACCCAAGAAGGAUAACAACUCAGAAAGUUUGGAAAGGCUGAGAAAUUCAAAUAACUGGCUCUGAUACCAUGACAAAUUUUCUAGAUCAAAGACCGAAUGCCUCUUUUGUGCAUCUUUUCCAUUUAAAUAGAAAAACUCUGUACCUUCUCUCCUCCGUCAGAAUAUCUACCUCCCUAAUGUAUUAAUUACAUAUAUGCUAAUAUACAUCUAAUAUAGUAGACCAUAAUCAGCUCUCCUUGAUUAGUGCAAUUAGUAGACUAGAUCCCAUAAGCAGCUGUUCUUGUCUUUUGCUAGCAGAUCAGAUCUCAUAAUCAGUUGCUGCCCAUGACUUCCAUAAGCAGCUGUUCUUGACUUUUACUUUUGCUAGCAGGCUGUCCUUGACUUCCAUAAGCAGCUGUUCUUGACUUUUGCAUUUAGUAGACCAGAUCCCAUAAUCAACUACUGCCCUUGAUAUUUAGUGUAUGGUGUUGAUUAAGAGAGAUUGAAAUUUGCACAUGAAGAUGGCCGAUGGUAUUCUGAUUUAGUUACUCGUAUUGUUAUUGAAUUAUUGUGCUGUUAGGUUUUCAUUAUAAUGAUAGUAAGGAAGAAGAUGAAGAUCACGAUUUAGAAUGAAGAGUCUAGGUGCACAUAGCUUUUUAGGACUUCCAUUACUUCUCUAAUAUUAAGAAGUAAGAUUAAUGAUAAAAGCAAUAAGAAUAAAAUUGCAACAAAAAAAGAAAAUAAAAACAAUAGAUUUCAAAAAAUAAAUUUGAUAAAAAAGAAAGUUAAUAAGAAAAAAAUUCUCAUUUGUUGUUUCAUGAUUUAUUCUCCUUUUUUUUUCUGAUGGAGUGGGUGUCCGGAUCAAUUCUUGCGGGGCCCGACUAAUCCCACUCCGGCCCGGGAGGAGAGGCCCCAUCCCCCCGAACACGAUAACCACGAGACUCGGACCAUUGCGGGCACUGGACAUCAGCUCCUAAGGAGGCUUGCUGAGACCAACCGAGUUACCCAUGAGGGGCAGACAAUUUGGUGGGAGGCAAGGGUUGAACCCCUGACCUCCCACCCCACCAGAAGAGGCGGUGGCCACUGAGCUAGAGCUCAGUGGUUUCAUGAUUUAUUCUCCUUGAACACCAUUUUUCUCACUGCUGUUUUCUUCGUUCUCUCUAUAUUUUCUCUAUUUUUUUUUUGUUCUUUUGUUUUCUUUCGCCCUUUCCACAAAUUAAUAAAUGAUUAGUUGCAAUUAUAAUAAACUCAAAUAGCAAGAGAUUAGAAAAUACAUGAUCAAGGAACCAUUUGACACUCACAAUUUGAUUCUGAUUAUAGAAAGGCAAGUGAUAAUACCACAAUUUGUACAACUCCAAUUUUAUUUUCAUAGCAAUUUACAUUACAAUGCCUAUAUUGCCCUCAUAAAAGUAAACAUCAACUUAAGGGAUUGAUUGUUUCUCUUUCCUUUCCUUUCUUGUCGAUGAAAACAACAAUUCUUCUCGACAUUUUCUUUUAUUCCUUCACAACCGAUUUAUCUUCUUUCACAUACCCAUCACCACCAUAUCAAUUUCCCUUCUCUCAUACUACCUCCGCUUUUCUUUCUUUUGAAUUUUAUGCUCCUAGCCAAAUCUCCAUGGCUCCGUUUGGAUUAGUUAUUUUUGGAGGUGUUUUUGAAAUAUUUUACUAUGGCAAUGUAUGUGAAAAGCUUUUACUAUAGAUAUUUUUAAUGGUGUUUUUAGGGUGUUUUUGAAAAUAUAUUUUGGAUAUCUUUAAGAUUUAAAAUUUUAAUGAGAUAUUUUUAAAAUUGCAUAAAACCUUACCACCACCCCUUCCCCCCUCCCUCCUCUUCUCUCUUCUCUCUUCCUCUCCCCUAUUUUUGGGGAUAUUUGGGAUGUAUUUUGGGGUAUUUUUGUAAUUUAAAAUAUGUUUGGAUACUUUUUAAAAAAUUUACACCACUACCCAUCUCUACCACCGCCUCCCUCCUCUCUCUCUCCCCCUCAUUCCUUUUCCCUCUCUUUCUCCUUUCUCCCCUCCCCCUUCUAUUCUUUCCCUCUUCCUCCUUCCUCUUUUUUUCCUUCCCCUUCUCCCCUCCCUACUAGACCCACCUGGAGAUUGUUGUCGCGACCUUCCAGGUUGUAACCAGAAAGGUCAUGCCAAUAGUAGCGCUACCUUUUUGGCCGCGACCGGAUCUGGUUGCGACCAGAAACUCAUGACUAGUGUGACCAAAAGGUCACAGCUAGAGCUGCUACUGGUUCUUGGAAGACGAGAGGAGAGGGAGGAGGAACAAGAAGGAGGAGGAGAAGGAGGAGGAGAAGAGCAGGGAAGAGGGGAGAAAAAGGAAGGGGGAUGAGAGAGGAGGGGGGGAACAACGGUGGAGGUAAUAGUGAUGGUGAAGGAGAGAGAAGGGAGUGGUAGAUGGUGGUGGUGGGUGGUAGUGAUCGGAGGAAGAAGAAAAGGUGAUAGGAUUUAUUUAUUGUAAGUUGUAUUUGAAAUAUAAGGAGUGUUUUUUGGUGGUAUUUUUGGAAUGUGUUAUUAUAGAUUUGUAGAUAAAAAAUAAGUAUUUCAAAAACUCUCAAAUCUUUUUCCAAUUUAUGUUUCUAGGAAUAAAAAUUCUUGCAAGUUCAUAGUCAAUUUCUUUGAUCAAAUUAGAGCGAUGCCAUGGGUUUUUACAUUCUUUUGUGUUUUAGCUUGGGAUGAAAUUUUAUGAAUACAACUGAUAGCAAACAACUCGAUUCCCUAUGCACUUUGCUGGAAAGAAUGUCUUGCUUAAGUUUUCUUCAGGAAUCAGGCCCUUUUAUUUGAUUGCAAAGUCAAAGGUCUUGAAAGUUAAAUCUCCUAAUAUCUUUCUCCUGCUAGAAAUUUCUUUUGUAUAUGUAUGAACUUGUCAAAAAAAAAAACUUAGACGUGUUCCCUUUCAUUGAAACUAUGGUUUAGGGAGAAUGGUAUAUGAGACUUAUUCAUGGGCAGAGGAGAAGGGAUGGAGGCAUCAGCGAUUGCAAGGUAGGAACUGGAAUAUGAGAAAAAGGGAAAAAAGAAAGAAAAAUAAAAAGGCAUGAAUGGCGGGAAUGUGCCUAUAGUGUGGUUGGUAGGGCACAUGCAAUUUGUGAGCUUUGUAUUGACUUUGAUAAGGAUAUUAUGAGUAUUAAAGAUAAUAUUGCUAUGAAAAUAAAAUUGGAGAUGUGGCAUUAUCAAUUGCCUAAUACAAAUAGCAGGAUCUUGUUCCUUUUUUAAUAGAUAUUAAUAGUUGAAUAUAUAGUUUUUUUUUUUUUGUAGAGGUUUGUACUUUGUACUUAAUGUCUAAUAGAGUUCUUUUGUUAGAUAAAAUAGAGUUUGGAAAUAAAGUCAUUAGCCUUUUUUUACUCAUUCAUUCUAGGUAUAAAAUUUUGGUAAUCGGACUAAAUUAAAAGAUAAUCACAAGAGGAAUAUUGAUGACAACCAGAUUUUAGUUGUCAUUAUUUGCUAUGAUGGUACUAGAGUGUUAACGGAGAAAUCAAAGAGAUCAGGCUAAGGUUUUAGGUAAAUGGUAUUUUGAAAUUUUUAAUACAUUUUAUCAACAUUAAUUGGUGAUAAGAAGUCAAUUUUAGUAGCUAAGAAUAAAGGUCUCUUUAUUAUAGAUUUGUGCAUUUGAAAACAGAUUUUGCUAUUUGAUUAAAUCUCAAGGUUGUACUUAUAGUUUGGCUAAAUUUGAGAGGAGGUAAAUAAUUAACCGUUCUUUUGAACGUCAAAUAACAAUAUUAAUACUACUUUACAUCUAUAGGUUGGAAAGAGAUGGUGGACUUAACGGGACCAUGGCCCACAAAAACCAGAAGGAGAGAGCUUUUCUUAAGAUUUGAAAAGUAUACUAUUGCACACAAAUUUAACUUGUAAGCUAUAGCUACUCAAUGGGAAUUAAUGUGCAAAAGCUAUGGCAUUCAUGGGGAUUUAAUGUGCAAAAGGUGUGGAAUUCAACAUUAAUGUGCAAAAAUUUUGGUAUGGCAUAGAAUAGAGUAUUUAGAUUAGGGCAUUCGUUUCUCAACCUAUAGUUGAGGAAGUAUCUAAGUGAUGUCCUAGUGGUUUGGUUGGAUACUGUGAUUAAGGAAAGAAUUUAAGAUAUGGCUCUGUUUGAAUUAGUUAUUUUUCCCAUAAACUGUUUUUAUUUGUGGAAUCUGCAGUUACAAAUACAAAAAAUAACUUUAAGAACACACAAUUUCAAAUACAACUUACAAAAAAAAAUAAAAGAUAAAAAUAAAUCCUACCACUUUUGGUUCUUUCACCUACCACAUGGCACCGCCGCUACCCCUUCCCUCCUCUCUCCUCCACUCUUGCCAUCCUCCUCCAUUGCCACUAUUUUCUCCUUCUUUCUCCUUCCUCUCUCUCCUCUCAUAUCCCUCCUAUAUCAUUUCUCCUCUCGCUUCCAUUCUUUACCCUUUUUCUACUACUAUUUUCCCCUCUCUUCCCUUGUCGAUCCUUUCUCCCUUUUGCCCCUUCCUUUCUCCCCUUUUCCUAUUUUGGUCAUGACUAGAAAGAGAAGAAGAGGGGAGAAGGAAAGAGAGAAGAGAAGGAGGAAAGAGAUGGUAGCGGCGGAAGAAAGUAACGAUGGUGGAGAAGGAAGGAGAGGAGGAUGGAGGUUAUUUUAAAUAAAUUUACAAAAAUAUACAAAAAAGUUUAAAAUUUUAAAAUAUUUCAAAAUAUAUUCUUAAAAACAUAGAAUCCAAAUAAACCAUUUACCGUAAAAGUUUUUAAUAUACACCGUUACAGUAAAAUUUUUGAAAAGUACCACCAAAAACACAAUGCGAAAUCAGAUUUUAAUGUAAAAUAGUUUUUGAAAAAUACUUUCCCAAUUUUUGAAUGCUUGUUUGCAUUAGAAUUUAAGCGUGCAUUUUCUAAUGAAAAACUUUUUUAUACCAUUUGCUAUAGAACAACUUUAGCAAAAAUGGUUUUCAUAUGGUUGUAUUGGCUAUUGGCCACAUCAAAACUCUUUUAAAAACAAAAUUUUUCAACUAUGCUUUAUCCUCUAAGUCUUUGAUCGUCCAAUUAUUUGGUAAGUGACUCGUUAUUGGCUAUUCCAUUCUUAGGCACAAUAGUGACUUUACCUUUUUUCAGUUGAGUACAGUGAGUUCAAAUUUUUUGAUAUAGCAUUGUUAUUUUUUCUUUCAUUCACAUUGACACACACAAUCCGGAGACAUGUCUCACCAGAAAAGGUAAAAGAUUCGAAGAUAUCAAAGCUUUAGAUCCAGAAAGGAAGUCUUCCCUAGAGAUUACCUAGGAAAGAAGGGGCAAAAAACAUGAAAAGAAGAAAAGUUGUCUACAAUUCAAUUAGCUAUAAACAACUAUAUGCAAGGAAGAAUUUGAUAUUUUCAAAUAUGACUAUUUUUUUUGUGUACAAUUGUUUGAAAGGGUGACAAGAAUUUGUAGUCUUUAAUUGAACUUUCACAACAGAAAUACCAUAUUGAGGUUGUCUCUAGUUAUUGUGUGUUAGGGAGUGAAGAAUUGUAAAGGAACUCUAAACUCUUAAUGCUUUAUUAGUUCGAGGUAUUAAUUGCAACAUAUCCUUUAAACUAAUUCUAUUCUAUAAUUUAUCACUUAAAUUGUCAAAUGAUCUCUAUAUUUUAAUUUUUUUUGAAUUAUUAAUUAAAGUAUUUGCUACCUUAUACUUUAAAUUUAACACACAUUGAUCCAGUCAAGUUAGUUUAACAAUUUAUUUUUAACAAAAUACUAAUUUAAUUGGAGAAGAUAUUUGUUGCUGAUAGUACCCUUCAGUGGUUUUUUUUUCCCUUUUUCUUCAUUAAUUUCAUUGUUUUUUUCCUUUUACCUAUUUAUAUUUCAACUAUGCUAUGAUCAGCCAUUGAUAGAAAACCAAUAACAUCUAUUACUCUAUCAAAAUGAUUAAAUCACAUAAGGAAAUUGAAAAUUUUCUUCUUGACAAAAAGAACUCAUAAGAAUGUAAUGCAAACCAAAUGUCCAAAAUUCCAUGCUAAAAUCUCCUAACAAAAUCCAAUUAUAAUUUCUAUUUACACCAAAAAGAAAAACCCCACUUUAAUAACACAAAAAAUAAUCAAGAAAAUCCAAAUUUCAAGGUACAGGUUUGAACAAACAAAUCUAGGUAUAGAUAACAAAAGCAAGGAUUGGGAGACAGUAGAUGGAUACUGCUAUCAACAGGGGGCGAGAGCUAGGGUUCAAGGGGAUAUAAUUUUAGAACUCAAGAAAAAUUGCAAGAAUAUAAAAAAGAAUAAUUGUGAAAUAGUAUAUACUAGGAUUAUAGAAUGUUAUUAUAAAAGGUGAUUAAAGGGUAAAACAAUAAAAAAACCUAAGGGGCACUUGGUUCAAACCUAGGAAUCGAAAUUGUAAUUGGAAUCACAUCCAAAAAUUCUGUAUGGGGUUUGAUCAAAAGUAUCAUUACAAUGACUAGUGUUGGGUAUAUAUUUAUAAGGUUUUGGAAUCAACUUAUUUUUCAUUUUCUUAUCUUUAUUUUUUUCUUCUUUCGCUUUUUCUACUUCCUUCUUCCUAGCCCUUAAGUAUUCAUGCUUCACCAAUUUCUCUUGAACCACCAUUUGACCAUCACCAAUCAACCUUGCAAUUUGUGGAGUAUGGAAGAACGACUGACAAGAGUUACACAAAAAGGAAAAAAAAAUAGAGAGGAGAGAGAACUAGAUGGAGAGGAGCAGCUACCAUGAAGUAUUGGAGGAAAGAGAAAGAGAGUGAAGAGAGCAUAAAAGGGAAAGUGAGAGAGAUAUUAAUAAGAAAGGAGAGAAAGAACCUGAUAGGGAGGGCUGCUGCCAUUGAGGGUUGGAAGAGCGAGUAAAAAGAGACGAAAGAUAGAAAAUGAUGAUAAUGAAAGCCUACUCUAGAAGAUGGGAUAACCGAGAAAAGAUGAAAGAGAAAAUCUGAUACUAAAGUGCUGCUAUGGAGGUUGGGCUGACGUGAUAGAAUGAUGAAGACAAUAUAUAUAUAUUUUUUGAAAUCUUCAAGUCAAAUUUGAGAAUCCACCAAAACCCCCCAAUUUGUUGGGGAUUGAGAAUUCUCAAAUUUUAAUGAUUCACUCCAAGAUUUUGAAUCCAAUACAUGUAAUCCAAACAACAAGAAUUGGAAUUAUUUCAAUUCUUGAUUUCAAUCCCCUUUUACCAGACGACACCUAAAAGAUCUAGAGAAUGUUAUGACUUCUCUCUCCUUCUCUCACAUCUAUUUUUCUGUGUCAUUUGCUGAUAUCCUUUUUAAGAUAUUUUUAGGAUAUACCCGGUUUAGAUUCUUAACUUAUUUCCCUCCAAUGAACUUUGUUGUUCUUUAACAAAUUGAGGAAAAAUUACAUAUGAAGAUUGAAGUAAUAACAAAUACUAUGUAUGCUUGACAUUGAGUGUGUUUGGAUUACACAUUAUUUUUAUCUUAUUUAUGCAAAUUGUGUUAUGGCCUGGAAUCAGUCCAAAUUGUCAUGCACAAAUGACUGGGAUGAGUCAGCAAGGGAGUAGCACCAGAAAUGUGAUAGCAUGAAGAGAGUCACGUGGCUUAGCAAUUGACAUAACAGAAUGAAGAAUAAUUAUUUGGCGGGAAAAGUAGUUAGUUACUAGCAGGCUGUUUUCUUGAGCUCAAAGCUAAGAUUUGUAUAAGUAAUUCAUCUGCAUUUGCAGGCAGGGCAUGUAAUACGUUGUUCCAAGUUUCUUUUCUAAUCAAUUCAAUCCUUUCCUCUCCCUCUCUAUUCCCUCUUCCUUAUUUCUGAUCUCAUUCUCAAUUCCUUCCCUCUCCUUCCCCUCCCUACCUCAGAUAUCUUUCAAUUCAUUUAGUUCGAUCCAUAACAGUGGUAUCAGAGCUUGCGAUCCUUAGAUUGCGAGCUUCAAUUCACUGACAAACAUGGCUGAAGGUACUCGAAUGAAAAGCUUUGAGGAGCAACUCAGGAAGCAAGAUGUCAGAAUCCAAGCAGUCCUUGACUCCAUGGUUGCAGACAAGCAAGUCAUGGAAGAAAGACUGGAGACAAAUCAAAGGGAGAUGCGACCAUUAAUGGAGGCCAAUAAUACAGAACUGAAAAACUUUGUGAGUAAUCAAAUUAGCUCAAUUUUGAGGAGUUUGCAAGGCCGACAAGGGAAUCUUGGGAAAUCCUACUGGUUCUGCAGAUCGAACUCCUAAUCAUCGAGCUACUGGAGUUCAAAAUGUCAGGCAUGGUGAAUUUGGCAGUUCAUCUGGCAGAGAAGGUCAGCAUUGGCCCAUGGGGGUUCCCAGGCUGGACUUCCCCAGAUUUGAUGGCCAUAGUCCCAAGGAAUGGAUCAGGAAGUAUGAAAAGUUCUUCCAACUGUUUCGCACUCCUGAAGAACAGCAGAUUGACUUGGUGGAACUACACUUAGAGGGCAAGGCAGAUCUCUGGUAUCAAAAUUUCAAAAGAGAUCGAGGAAUAGUUCAUUGGAAGGAUUUCAGUUUGGAAGUAUGUAGGAGGUUCAACACUGUAGGGGAAGCAGAUGCGGUGGAGGAGUUCAGCAAGCUCAGCCAAUCAUCCACUGUUUUGGCUUAUCAGGAGAAGUUUGAAGAGUUGAGGUCCAUUGUAAUGAUCCAGGUGCCAGAACUAACUGAAUCUUACUACAUUGCUAGUUUCCUAAGUGGAUUGAGGGGGGAAAUUAAGUCUGCUGUGAAGAUGCAUAGGCCAGACACUCUACAAGUUGCCUUUGAGAUGGCCAGAUGGCAGGAGCACCAUUUAGAGCUUGUUCACAAGUUCAGCAGGACCACACUCAAGAGUACAUUACACUCAAGCUCCUAUGGUCUUACCAGGGGAAUGCAGGGAGUACAGGAUCCAGGAGCAAGGCAGGCUAGUACUUCGCCAACAGACUACAGCAAGAAGUCCAAUUCACAGCAAGUUUUCAGGAAGAUUUCUCCUACUGAAUUCCAAUACAGGAAGGAGCACAACCUAUGCUUUAGGUGUGGAGACAAAUUUACUCCCGGACACACUUGUAAGAGCAAGGGGAUCCACAUGAUGUUAAUAGAAGAUGAGGAAAAAGGUGAGGCAGAACAAACAAUAGAAGAAGAUGAAGUUAUUGAGUACAUGGGGAACCAACAGGAGCAGGAUGUGAUGUUGACCCUGCAUGCAAUGACAGGGGAAUUAUCUUCAAGUGUCAUCAAAAUGCAGGGGCAGUACAAGAAUUGUCAGCUGACAAUCCUACUGGAUGGAGGAAGUACCAAUUGUUUUAUCAGGAGAUCAGUGGCUCAGUUGUACCCAGAAACUGUGCAGAAGCAUAGGCCUUUUAAGGUCAAGAUUGCUGAUGGCAAAGAGUUGCACUGUGACCAGUGGAUUCCAGGAAUGCAGUGGGACAUGCAGGGCCACAGAUUUACACAUGAUGUAUUUGUCAUGGACCUGGAACCUUAUGAGAUUGGAUGAAAUCCUACAGCCCCAUUACCUUUGAUUUCAAGAGACUAAACCUGACUUUUGAGAAGGGAGGAGAGCAAGUGGUGUUAAAAGGAGACUCCAACAAUGCAAACGUUAGAAUGCAACAAGGCUCAACAGCUCAUAAAUAUGUCAGACAUAAGAUCAGGAAGGCUCUGCAGCAAUCUUGUAUGGUGAAGGUUCACAACUCGCAGGUAAUUUCUGAACCAGAUUCUCUUACUCAAUUGUUGGCCAAGUAUGAUGAUGUCUUUGCAGAACCUAUAACUCUUCCCCCAAACAGAUGCCAUGAUCACCAAAUCCCUCUUAAACUAGAUGCCAAACCUUUCAAAAUUCCCCCAUAUAGGUACCCCCAUGUACAGAAAAAUGAAAUUGACAAGCAAGUAAAGGACAUGUUAACCUUUGGUCUUAUACAAAUUAGCCACAGCCCCUUUGCAUCACCUGCUCUCUUAGUUAAAAAGAAAGAUGGGAGCUGGAGGCUUUGUAUUGAUUAUAGACAAUUGAACAAUCUUACCAUCAAAGAUAAAUUUCCAAUCCCUAUUAUAGAUGACUUACUAGAUGAGUUACAUGGAGCCAGGGUCUUCUCUAAAAUUGAUCUGAGAUCAGGCUAUCACCAAAUCAGAAUGAGACCUGAGGACAUCCAUAAAACUGCUUUUAGAACUCAUUCUGGACUUUAUGAAUUCCUUGUAAUGCCAUUUGGCCUGACAAAUGCCCCCGCCACCUUUCAAGCACUAAUGAACUCAGUUUUUGAACCUUACAUCAGAAAAUUUGUCCUUGUGUUCUUUGAUGACAUUCUGAUCUAUAGUCCAGAUUAUAAAACCCACUUACACCACCUAUCCUUAGUAUUAGGAACCCUGAGACAACACUCCUUGUAUGCAAAGAUGUCUAAAUGUUCUUUUGGUCAAAACCAAGUGGAGUAUCUGGGACAUGUUAUUACUAGUGAGGGUGUGAAUACUGACCCAUCCAAGGUGGAGGCUAUGCUGUCCUGGCCAACUCCUACUUGUUUGAAGGCCCUCAGAGGAUUUUUGGGCUUAACAGGGUAUUACAGGAGGUUCGUUAAGGGGUAUGGAGAAAUUGCUAAGCCCCUCACUGAGUUACUGAAGAAGGAUCAAUUUGCUUGGAGUGCUGUUGCAGAAUCUGCAUUUCAACAGUUGAAGGAGGUCAUGAUUAAAUCUCCAGUAUUAGCAUUACCUGACUUCUCAAAACCAUUCCAAUUGGAAACUGAUGCUAGUCAGUUAGCUAUUGGGGCUGUUCUGAUGCAACAAGGGAGACCUAUAGCUUACUAUAGUCAAGUGUUGGGCCAGAAGAACCAGACCAGAUCCACCUAUGAAAAAGAACUCCUAUCACUUAUCACAGCAGUUCAAAAAUGGAAACAUUACUUGAUGGGGAACCACUUUAUUAUAAAAACUGACCAUGAGAGCCUCAAAUACUUGCUGGAUCAGAAAAUAAACACUCCCCUUCAACAAAAGUGGCUGGUUAAACUCUUGGGGAUGGAUUAUGAGAUCCAAUAUAAGAGGGGUAAGGACAAUGUGGUUGCUGAUGCAUUAUCAAGGAGGGGAGAGCAGGAGGAGUCAGCAGAAACGUUUGUACAUGCCAUCACUACCAUCAAGCCUCAAUGGGUGUCAAUGGUAGCUGAGAGCUACAAUGGUGAUGACAUGGCCAAGGAGGUUCUACUGAGGUUGGCCAUGGGAGCUGAAGCACUACCUGACUACUCUUAUAACCAAGGGAUCUUGAGAUUUAAAGGAAGGAUUUGGGUGGGAGCAGAUGCUGGACUAAGGCAAAAAUUGAUUUCCUGUUUUCAUGAUUCUUGUCUUGGAUGUCACUCUGGGAAUCAUGGUACUUAUCAGAGGAUCAAAAGCUACCUAUACUGGCCUGGAAUGAAAAAGGAGGUUGAACAGUAUGUACAGAAUUGUGAUGUCUGCAAGAGAAGUAAAAAUGAGAAUUGCGCUUAUCCAGGACUGUUGCAGCCAUUGGCCAUUCCUGAGCAAGCUUGGCAACAAAUUUCCAUGGAUUUCAUAGAAGGUUUGCCUAAAUCUUUUGGUUGUAAUGUCAUCUAUGUGGUGGUAGACAGAUUUACUAAAUAUGCUCAUUUUAUCCCUAUGACUUCUCAUUACACUGCUAAAAGUGUAGCAGAGACAUUCUUUGAUCAGAUCUUCAGGUUACAUGGCCUACCAACACACAUUGUCUCUGAUAGGGAUAAAGCCUUUACUAGUUUGUUCUGGCAGGAACUCUUCAAGAUGCUUGGCACAGAGCUAAAUCUCUCUUCUGCAUAUCACCCUCAGUCUGAUGGCCAGACUGAGAGGGUUAAUAGAUGUGUAGAAAGCUACCUGAGGAGUGUGUGUAUGUAUCAACCAGGGAAGUGGAGGAAAUGGCUUCCUGCAGCAGAAUGGUGGUAUAACACUAACCACCAUAGCAGUCUACAAAUGUCCCCUUUCCAGGCCUUAUAUGGUUACAAACCUAUACAACUGAACCUGAGGCCUGAUAAAACAAUAGUAGCUGCUGUGGAGGAUUGGGCACAGGAAAGAGUAGGCUGGAAUUCCUUGCUCAAAGAGAACUUGUUUAAAGCUCAGAACAGAAUGAAGCAAAUGGCUGAUAAAGGGAGGAGUGACAGGGAGUUUAUAGUGGGAGAGUGGGCUUAUUUGAAGCUCCAACCUUACAGACAAACCUCAGUAGCCGUAAGGGGGAAUUUGAAAUUGACUGCUAAGUACUACGGGCCCUAUCAGGUGGAACAAAAGGUGGGGACUGUAGCAUACAAGCUGAAGCUACCUGCAGGAUCCAACAUACACCCUGUUUUUCAUGUUUCAUUGCUCAAGAAGUCACCAAAGGAGGCUCCAGUCAGCACUACCUUGCCUACCUUGAAUGCAGAUAGUGAGUUUGAGGUCACCCUCUCAGUAGUAUUGGAUAGAAGGACUAUCUAUAGGAAGGGUCAAGAAGUUGAGCAAGUAUUGGUGCAGUGGGAAAACAUGGAACCUGAGGAAGCCACUUGGGAGGAUUGGACGUUCAUUCAUGCUCAAUUUCCUUCUUUCCAAAUCAAUCAAUCCUAGAGACUAUGAUUGUUUUAGGGGGAGGUAUUGUUAUGGCCUGGAAUCAGUCCAAAUUGUCAUGCACAAAUGACUGGGAUGAGUCAGCAAGGGAGUAGCACCAGAAAUGUGAUAGCAUGAAGAGAGUCACGUGGCUUAGCAAUUGACAUAACAGAAUGAAGAAUAGUUAUUUGGCGGGAAAAGUAGUUAGUUACUAGCAGGCUGUUUUCUUGAGCUCAAAGCUAAGAUUUGUAUAAGUAAUUCAUCUGCAUUUGCAGGCAGGGCAUGUAAUACGUUGUUCCAAGUUUCUUUCCUAAUCAAUUCAAUCCUUUCCUCUCCCUCUCUAUUCCCUCUUCCUUAUUUCUGAUCUCAUGCUCAAUUCCUUCCCUCUCCUUCCCCUCCCUACCUCAGAUAUCUUUCAAUUCAUUUAGUUCGAUCCAUAACACAUUGACUUAUUUGCAUCAUCAACAUAUUUUUCAAUCAUCUUUUUAUCUCACAUACAUCAUAUCAAAAAAGUACUACAAUAUUUUUUCACAAAAUUAUCUCAAAUAAUUUACUAUCGGGGUCAACAUUUUUAUGCCCUCUUUUUUGUAUUUGUUUGGGUUUUGUUGUGUGUUUAUUUAUCUUUUAAAGGAAUUUGUUCUUUAAUCAUCUAUUUGACAUGAUAUGCACUAUAUAUAUUAUUUUUUAUUUCGAUUUUGUUGUAGAAAGAAAGAAAGUGAAAAAAAAGGAUGCAAUUUUUUCUUGAUUUAGUGUUGUUUUUCAUACCUUUAACUUCACUUAAACCAAUUUUUUCCCAACUUUUCUAAUGUAAUCUUUCGUUAUAAACAAAUCUAAUUUUUGCCUUUUAAUGUCUCCUAAAUACUUGUACAUUAAGCAUUCAUAUCAGGGGAUAGGGGCGCCGGGUCCGGGCCGCAGGGAAUUAGUUGGGCCCCGUAAGGAUUGACCCGGACACCCCUGUGUCGGAAAAAAAAAAAAAAAAAGCAUUCAUAUCACCAUGGAAGUUUGGUCAAACGUCCUAGUCCACAAUCAAAGGUGCAGGAGGCAAACUGGUCAAUCAUUUCAUCACGAAACAUCCUCAAAACUUAAGCAAAACCUACAAAUAACCGUGUGGCUCGGAAAACCCAUACCCCACACCCUGCCAUUCAGACAGACAGGGGUUUAAAGUAAAACCCGUCAAAUGCAAAAUCCAAAAGUACUUUACUCUUGCGGUCCUCCAAGCCAGCGGUCCUCCAAGCCAAACAGGAUAGUCAUGCUUGAGUCAUAUUUCCAUCUGCUGAGCCUGAGUCAUAUUUUGAUAAAAAAAAAAAAAGAACCUGAGUCAUAAGACAUAUUUAAUCUCAGCCAUCGGAUCUCUGACAUAAAAUCUUGAUCUGUCCAAAACAAAUAGCUAAAAAAUAAAUUUAAAACCAAAUUGGUUCCCCCUCGUCCUGCCCUUCUCUCUUGCACAACCCUCACCUCCUUUCAGCAGAGCAGAGCGGACCCUUUCACUCUAUCAGACGUUUCAGUCACCUCGAAAUAGUAACCUUCAUUUUCUUCAGUUCUAUGCUUUAGGGGGCUCAUGUGUCAUCCCAAGAUUGAAACUUUUGGGUUGAAUAAAAUGAAAUUAAUAAAGGGCCAAUCUUUUCUUCUUCUUCUUUUACUAAUUUCUGCUGUUUCAGCUGCUGGUGCUGCUGCUGCUGAAGGUUAGUGUCUUUCCUUCUUCCUACGUUAGUUCCACUGUAUUUUUUUCCCUAGUCUUUCAUCUUUUCCAUCUCUCGGCUCAUUUUUUACAUUUUUUUGGCUGAAAAACUAACUCUUUACUUGGUAUUGAUUGCUUCAUGCACUACUCUAGUGGUGGUCUUCAGCUUGUAUUUUUUCCAGGCUGUUUUGUUUUAGCUCAUUUCAAGCUGGGAUAGUUUCUUUUUCAUUUUGUUUUCACGUUGCAGUUUUAGUUUUUUCAGUAGCAAUAUUAUGCUGUUCUAGUUUUAGUUUUUUUUUUCCCUGUGCGCAAUAUGCUUGUAUGCGGGAGUGAGACCCUUUACCAAAAGGAUGUGUCUUGGUUAAGGUAAAGGUGUUAGGAAUAUAGCGUAAAGUUGAGAAGAAAGAUUUUAUAUCAGCUAGAAAAAAGUGCAAAAGUUGAUUAGCGUAAGCUUUGAAUUUUGUUUGAGGUAAGCAAUUCUAAUAAGCAUUUUUCUUGACAAAGUGGCUGUUUCUACGCUGAAAAUAGGGACUUUUCUAGAGAAAGAGAGAAUCUUUUCUUUGUUCUUCCCAAAGUAGGGUCUUUUCUGUGGAUUUUUUUUUUUUUUAAAUUUUUGGUGAAGCCCUCAAUCUGAGCUGGACCAUCUACAGAACCUAAGCUAUUGCGGCCCAGCUCAUGUAGGUUUUUCUUUAAGAUACUCCUGCUGCCACAGAAAAAGAAAAAGUUAUAUUGGAGGACGAUUUCUUCCAUUAAGUUCCAACAAAUUUUUUAAAGAAUAUUAUUGUCAUUUUCUUGCUUGAUGUUUAACAUGUCUACAUGUGACAAGCUGACAAUGUUGUGAUGCAAUAUUUUAUAUUAUAUGUGCCCAUCAUUUAUCUGACAGUUUUUCCAUGCAUGUACUUCUUUCUAUGCUUGUUUAGAUCUUACAGAAGGUGCUUUGAAAAAUUUUCUAGUCUUUAAAUAUCCAUGGAGUAAUAUUAUUACAGUAAGAAUCUACUCUGGCUUUUUAUAGAAGCUACUUUUUCUUCCGCGAGAAAUUUGAUUCCUAAAAAAUUUUCAGCAGUAGCAUGCUGGACCAAUAUUCUUGCAGAGAGGCUUUGUAUCAAUUAGUUAGCAUUGUCUGUUUCCUACCGAUUAUGACCUCUGGUGGUGUGGAAGGCCAUUGUGGGCUCCUAUAAGAGAGAACAUGUGGCAGUGGCAUAUAUUUGAAGCUUUAACCUAAUUGUAAAAGCAUACCUGUUGGAGAAACAAGUGAUUAAUGAAAAAGAGAAGUUGACAAAUAAAAGAACAAGAUAACAUAUCUUUGUAGGUGUAAGUUUAGCAAUUUGAAUAACCAGCAACAUUUUGCAAUUUAUGAUAAUGACAAUUGAAUACAGGGAUUAAAGAUACAUAUUUCCUUGUGUCUUUAUCUACUUCCUUAUGGCCCUGUUUUUGUUACAAAAUCUUAUAGUGAAUACAUAUCCGAAAUCUUGAAGGCGAUGGGGCUAUCGCUGCCCACCAAUCUUGUUUGUGCUUUGUAGUAUAGCUAAUUUUGAGUGUCCUUACCCAGCAAAAAUUGGUAGUUUGUUCCAUAUUGAUUUAGAGUUGAACUCUUCUAUUGUUAUCUAUCAUAUUUGUAAUCAAGACUAUUGAAUAGCUGGACUGCAAAAUUGCUUGAACUUGAGGAGGAUCUUUGAUGUCAUUGGUUUAGCAAAUGACAAAACCACAAUUGGUUUCAACUAUAGUUUCCGUAAAGACUGCGUGAUACCUUACAGUUAAGAUGAUUACGAUGGAAGUAAUAGCCCUUUGGUUUGUUGCCUUGAUUUAAUUUAUACAUUUAAUUUCUCACAAUCUUUUUCUCUUCUUCCUCUUGAUUCUGCCCUGCAACUCACUGUGCCCCUUCACCAGCAGAUUCAGUUAAUAGAGGCCCUAGUGCUAUGAACCCAAAACCAAUAAUUCUAUCUGAUGCUGAUUGCUGAUUGUUUGCUAAAUUUCAUUUACUUCAUUUUUUGCCAGGGGUCUUUUUAGAAUUUUAGAAUGAUAGGAUGCAAUGAUGAUGCAAGAGGCAACUAAUUUAAAGUGACUGGUUCUUAUGAGGGGCUUUGCUGAGUCAAUGAUCAUUUGUGUCUCCCUAAACAGUCAUGAAUCAGGUGCUUUAUAUAGCAGAUUGAUUGUUCUUGUAUAUGAAGCAGAAAAACUUGCUCUGAUUUCCUGAAUUUCAAAUUUUUGAAUUAUAUUAACUAUGCAGUCUAAGAUGGUAUUUGGUUUCAAUUCUUUAUGACACUCAUGUUCGUUGUAGUUCCUCUGAGAAUUAGAAUAAUUUAUGCUCCAACUCUUGCUCAGCCAAUGCCUUUGCUAAACAUCUUAUUGUUUUUUGGGUCCUUGUCCUCCAGAUGGUUUCAUUGGUGUAAAUAUAGGUACAGACCUGUCUGACAUGCCUGACCCAACUCAGGUUGUGGCCCUUCUCAAGGCUCAGCAAAUCCGGCAUGUCAGGUUGUAUGAUGCUGACAGAGCUAUGUUACUCGCACUUGCUAAUACUGGAAUUCGUGUAACUGUAUCAGUACCAAAUGAUCAACUGUUGGGAAUUGGACAGUCAAAUGCCACAGCAGCCAAUUGGGUUUCCCGAAAUGUUAUUGCCCAUAUUCCUGCUACCAACAUCACUGCUAUAGCUGUUGGAUCUGAAGUUCUGACAACCCUUCCAAAUGCUGCCCCAGUCCUGGUCUCUGCAAUGAAUUUCAUCCAGUCUGCCCUAGUUGCUUCUAAUCUUGCUUCCCAGAUAAAAGUAUCCACCCCGCACUCUUCUUCCAUUAUUCUUGAUUCAUUCCCACCUUCUCAAGCAUUUUUCAACCGCACCUUGGAGCCAGUCAUGGUUCCCUUGCUCAAGUUUUUGCAGUCUACUGGCUCCUUCCUUAUGCUCAACGUUUACCCAUAUUAUGAUUAUGUACAAUCAAAUGGUGCAAUCCCGUUAGACUAUGCUUUGUUUCGUCCUCUUCCUCCGACCAAGGAAGCUGUUGACCGUAACACUCUUCUGCACUAUACUAAUGUUUUUGAUGCAGUAGUGGAUGCAGCAUAUUUUGCCAUGUCCUAUCUGAACUUCACCAAUAUUCCCAUAAUAAUCACUGAAUCUGGUUGGCCUUCAAAGGGUGACUCUUCUGAGCCAGAUGCCACUCUAGAUAAUGCUAAUACUUACAAUAGUAACCUUAUCAGGCAUGUUCUUAACAACACAGGGACUCCAAAACACCCUGGGAUUGCACUGAGCACCUACAUCUAUGAGCUAUACAAUGAAGAUCUGAGACCAGGGUCUAUUUCAGAGAAGAACUGGGGACUUUUUAAUGCCAAUGGUGUACCUGUUUAUAUCCUACACUUGACAGGUUCUGGGACUGUUCUUGCAAAUGACACCACGAAUCAGACUUACUGUGUUGCGAAGGAAGGAGCUGAUAAGAAGUUGCUGCAAGCAGCCCUCGAUUGGGCUUGUGGCCCUGGAAAAGUGGAUUGCAAUCCGUUAAUGCAAGGAAAUCCAUGUUAUGAUCCGGAUACUGUGGUAGCACAUGCAUCAUAUGCUUUUGAUGCCUAUUAUCACAAGAUGGGUAUGACAGAUGGAACUUGUGACUUCAAUGGGGUUGCCACCGUCACAACCUCGGAUCCCAGUAAGUAAUAAAUAUAUUGUUAUGCAUUGACUUGGUUUACGAAGAGACUUUUGACACUUUGUUAUCUUAGUUACUGAGAUUGUGAGGUGCCAUAAAGAAACAACUAAAAAAAAUUAAUCAAUAGCUAUGAAAUGGCAUUUCAACGGGAGAUUUCUUUUCUUCUCCCUGUAAGCACAGAUGCAAAUGGAGUAAAAGUCGUACUUUUUCUUUGAUUGGGGGUUCUUGGCUUUGCAUUUUAUGCAUACCUUCAUCUGAAUUAAGGUUUUUGCAUAAUCAGCUAUUGGACGACUCUAAAUCGCAGCUUGGAGAAGUUAGUGAAGUCAUUGGUGAAUGUAUUUACUGAGUACAAAGACGAAGAAAGAAAACAUACCAAGACUGAUUUCUUCAACUUUAAAUAAAGAAUCUUGUAGUUAAAUGCUCUAUGCACUCGUGUAGAUUAAAUGCUUAUACUCCUUGCUUGUAACAUCAUUUGUUGCAUUAUCAAAUACUAAUGUUCGUUCUGCUUGUGCAGGUCAUAAUUCAUGUAUAUUUCCAGGAAGGUAUGAAGCAUUGAGUUUGUAACUAUGGUUUUUGAGUUAGUCUACUAUCUCUGUAUUGCCAUCCAUAUUCUGUUAUUUAUGUCCAAAAGCUUCAUCUGAGAGUUUGUGUUUUUCUUCUUUGUUUGUUAUGAAGUGGUGGGAGGAAUAGGACCACCACAAAUGGCACCUCUCUAGCUCCAUCGUCGAACUCCACGGUAUCUGGCUGCCAUUCACAAUAUUUAAACGAGAAAGGUGUCCUUUUUAACUCCAUAACACUUGGUCUUAUGCUCUGGGGUGUUGCUUUCUUGUAAAACAUUGAUCUCUUACUUUUUGCUGCUUUUGAACUACGUUGACACUUGAGAAACCUUUGGGUGGAAAACUGCUACAACUUCUGCCACACCCAAUUUUGGUCAUCUGAAUUGAGCUAGGGUUGGCAUUGGGAUCUGCUUGGAUUAUAUAGCUGGCAAGUUGCUUUGAGGUGAGUGGUACAUUAACAUGUACAAAGAAGGCUUUGGGAUUAUUUCGAACCAUUGAUGUAAUUAGGUUAGAUUAGAGUCAAUUUGUACUCAAGGAUUGUAUUCUUUUAACCUGAAAAUGAAUUUGCAUAGAGUUGUCUCGACUCUUCAUAUUGUCUUGUAUCAUCUUUUCUUUUUUAUUGGGCAGAAGGUUGGUAGAAGUAAAUGACAUUGAGAUGUCUCCUUUGCUGCAAAUUGUUUCGAGUGGUCAAGUUUAUAAUGGCACUUGUUGGAUUUGACCUUUCUUUGUUUCGUAGUUGUUAAUUUUACUCUUAAAUUGCAUUUAGGUGACGAAUUUACAAUAAGCAAUGGGAAUGUUGCAUCAGUGGUAAAUAUAACCAAUAUAUGAAAGUAACGACUUUUUGGUAGAGAAUUCAAAGUCUGUGGAGGUAUUAUGCAGUAGAUGUGAUGCUUAUAAUCAACCAAACAAAUGAGUGGGAGUUCUCAGAUGCAAGUCUAAUCCGUAACAGUUAACACAUUUCAUCUGAUUGCUAAAAGUUCUAGUGCCCUUGUGAUGAUUAAUUCUCUAUAAAUCUUGCAUGACAAUCUAUACAUACAAAUCCUGAAGAGCCUACUAGGCUGCACUUUUGAUCUGCAUGUUGGCUACAGUAAGGUUUGUUGCAAAAACUACAUUUUGGUAGCUGAAGCCAGCAGCCUAAACAUAAUACAUCCACACAAGCUGCCUCUACUGGAUCUUCAUCUUUGAUACACAUACCACAUUCUUCACACCUUAGGAUGCAGUGUUGGCAUCCCCUGCACUCAAGCUUCUGCUGCUGCCUCAUACUUUUGCAAGAAUCUCUAGGGCAGUCAAAAACCACUCUUGCUUCUUUACAUUUUGGGCAUAUUUCCACAUCAAUAGGAGGAUAUGAAUGUUUAAAUGUUGAAAACGCUUUGUACUCAUGAUAGAAGUUCAAUCCUUUCUUCUGCCAUGGGUGGCUUUCAUCAUCAAUUAGACAGUGUAGUAUUUCAAGACCUUCUUUCUUCAAAUUAUAGAUGCCGUUGAUCCUUAGGCUCUUUAAUCUGUGCUUAUUUUUGGUAAGCAGCUUCACUGCUUCAAUCACUCCACUGGGGCUUAAGCUGGUGCAAGCUGGUAACCAGAGCUGAGAAAAAGGGAAGAACUGAGACAGCAGGCUUUUCUAGAGCUUAGCUUUAGUCCUUAACUAUGCCAACAUAGCUUCACAUCACAGACCAACAAAGUUUAUCUAGUCCAACUAAAACCAUACCUUAUCGAUUUCCAUCCCCUAAAACAAAGGUAGUUACUUUGAACAAUAACAUAAAGAAGAAUCAAAUAGAAAGAACAUGCAUCGUGGAGGAAGAUGAAAUUAUUUUUUAUUACUAUAUCUCCUGUUCCCACUAAAGGAUGACAAAGACCGGACAAAAGAAUAAAAGGGUUCAUGAAUAUACUCUGGUUAUGUAAGGAUUUCUUGCUAUGACCUGCUGAAGCCCCUCGUCUGUAAUCUUUGAGCAAUUCAACAAGGCCAGAGUUUUUAGCCUACCAUCUGCUUUUGAGGUAAUUUUGAGCAGAUGGACAUCGUUGAAACGCUUGUUCAAUGGCUUUCCCACCACCAUAUUCAGCCAUGGCAAGAUAUCAUAGGUAAGAACUUCUUUUACUGAUCUGCAGACUUGAGCCAUAACAAGAAGUUCAUAUAGAGGAAGAUAAGACAAGACAAGAAAUAGAACUUCAUGGGGCAUCCCUUCUUGUUGGAGAGGAGUAUCUGAGGCAUCUUGCACUAAGUUCUCUUCCAUAUGUGAAGCUGGUACAAACUCAUCAGUUGACGGAAAGGCCAGGUUUUAAAGGAUGAAGGACAAGGCUUCGUUAUCUUUUCGAACUCCUAAAUUAAGUCCAGACAAGAAGAAGAUGAUGUAGAAGAAGGCUGAAGAAAAGAGUACUUGAAGGAGGAACUUUACGUGUCCUAAAUUGCUUGGUUGAGAAAAUUUGUCGAGUAUCCCAGUUAGGCUGUGUUUGGCUCCUUCAUUUUUAGAAGAAUUAAUUCUCUAUAAUUUGCUCCCAAAUAAAAAAAAAAAAAUUAGAUUAAAUCUCUGUUGAAUUACCAAAUAUUUAGCAAUUAUAUAUCGAUUUUAGAUUCUUGCCAUGCCAUACACCUUUGUAACUAGGACGUCAAUAUCUCCAGAUUUAUAAUCCUAGCUUAUUUGAGAUUCCAAGGAGGAACAUGUUUGAACAUCAGAAACUCGCAACAGACUUUUCAUAUGCGAAAUAUUUUGAUCGGAUGAAAAAUAUAUCUCUUUCUACGAGCAGAAAAUGCAGUACACAUAAAUUGUUACUUUUGGUCAUCAACCAGAAUUGUGGAGUUGAUGAAGUGCUUUAGACAGUAUGUCUAACUGCUGGAUUGUUCAUCUUCAAGAUUCUACUUCAAGAAUUCAUGAAACAUUCAAACUUCUGCAAUUAAUCCUAUGGACUUUAAAGGAUAGUUAAAAACACUACAUUUUCCUCCUUUUCCUCUUUUCAAUAGGUCAGUUAUCAGAUACAACACAGAAACGAAGGCAGAGAAGAAUUACAUAUUGUCCAUUUCUUUCUUCUUCUUUUUUGUUUUUCUUUUUCCCUUCAGCUUUGUACAUAAGGUUCUCAGUUUCAAAAGGCAUUCAGGAUUCAAGAUCUUUGCAAUUACAGAGUAUAAUAUAACCAUGAGUUUCAACGGUCUAAUGGUUCAACAGCAGUCUUGAACAGAAGAACGUAGACCUUAUCGAUUGAGAAAUACAAAAAACCUCCAGUGGAAUGUGUCACGUAUGAGCCAAAGCUUGUUCCAACAAUGCAAUGCCAAGCCGGACCAUAUGUUGAAUCAAAUUCCUGUUAAGGCCAAUACACAAACCAUUAUCCAGUAGUCCGAAGUUGUCUACCAUAUGAAAUUGUACGACUGUAAAAACAAUGCAUUCUCAUGAGACAUAUCGUUGAAAUAAAAAGGGAGGGAUAUAAGCAAUCUAGUCUUGAUUCUACCAUAAUUACCUCUGGACGAACAUUGGAAUUAGUUGCAGGAAUAAGAAGUGGAGUAUCAGAGUUACCAAGGUAUCUUUAAGAAACAUCCCUAAAAAAAAUUCUAUGUCAAGCUUAAGGUUUCAGACUAUGAAGCUGGCCGAAUAAAGAAAACCUUCCCGUGAUCAUAUAGGAAGAUAAUUGCUAACAUACUAACAUAAUUCUACCGAAUUUUUUUAGACCCUGAUUAUAUGAAGUUCGAGCUGUACAAUACAAGACAGAAGACAAAGUCCUCAUACUCUAAUAUGUUUUUGCUACAAUGAAACAUGCAACAUGAAAAUUGACAUUCUAUGAUGAUCUAUAUUUGGACUCAAAAAGUCCCUCACAUGAAAAUAUUUAGUUCUUAUUAGACAUGCAUACUGAGUAAUACAUUUGAGUCGAGAGAAUAAUUUGAGAGGCUUCAGUAUAUCCUUAUUAACAAGGAGUACACAAAAGUAAACAAAACGAAGACAUAAUUAAGUUGAGACCAACAAAGAUGGGCAUCAAGGGCUCAUUGCAUCUAAUGAUGAUAAAAUGAGGUACGCCAUCCAUCAUUUCAGAUCAAGUGUUUGCUGUCUGAAUCAUAGUUCCUGAGAUGUUAUUUUCAAGAAAUGAUCUAAGAUGCCAAAUUGCACAUGCUACACCCUGCAAAGGGCACAAUCAUGAACAUCACCUAGAAGAAGGGUUUGGGAGGCCGUAUCAUUAUUACCAACUGCUUCCCUCUGCACUGUUGGUCAAUCAAACAAGACUCAGUUUGAUUCCCCAUUUAUUUGACUUAAAAGAAUGGAAACCCAAGAAAAUGGUAAAAAAAAAAAAAGAGUCCUUCAAGGCUAAUUUUACUGGCCAAAAUGACACCCCAAACAUAUUGCCAGAAGGAUAGCAAAAAAAUUAACAAAGAUAAUAGAAAGUCAUUGAGUUACAGGUACAGAAACUUGAGGUGGAAUGGUUCCAUUAAGGAUGCACGGUCCCUAUUACCAAUUAGCAAAACUGUGCAAUAUGUGAUCUUAUUAAGACUUCCUUUGCCGAUGUCACGUCAAUUCUCCUGCUUCAAUUUAGAUAGUUAAAUUUUUCUUCAGAUUGGCCUGCCUAUAACUUGUCAAGUUCAUGAAACGACAAUGAUGUAUUACAGCACAUAGCAGCUUGUACCAAUACUUGUAAAAAGAAGUAAAUACAGGGUAAAUAAACACCUUAUGAGCUAAAAAAAAAGAAAAAAAGGAAACAAUGCUGGCAAAAGAGAAAUAUGGUUGGAAGUACUUACCCCAAAAAAAAAAAGCUCGGAAGUAAUCAAUCCUCUAAAAACUUUACCAGCAGGAUUUUAGUCCUUUGGCAAAGAGAUUCAGCAAUAGCAAUGAAACUAACUCUCGAUUUUCAUAGGAAAUACAACCAUCAACAUAACUUAUUGCUGAUACCAAACAGCAGGAUUGGCUCAAAAAAGCAUGCUUAUAUUUUCCUUUCAAUAAAUUUGAAACAUGAAAGCAAAGAACUCAACAAGAAUGAUGAAGCUCAGAAAAUGAAGACUACACAGCCAAACGAUAUACACAUAUAUAUAGUUUUUAAAGUAAUUCCAGAUAUUCUUUAGGCGCAAAUAACACAAAUUUCGAAAUUUGAAAUGCAAGCUGCACAUUUUGGAAAACAUAACUCACUGCCCAAUGAAAUUUCCUCAUAUUAUGUCAAAAGACAUUUCACUUGCAGUAUAUAGUGUCAAAUGUACAGCCUGCAAAGUAUAAUCUCAAAUGCGAUAACAAACGUGGUCCAAAAACCAUAUUGCCACAAAUAUAAACAGGGAGGAGGACAGUGAUCUAGAUGUUGCAUUAACACCGAGCAAUCACCAUGUUAAACUAACCAGAAUAAUCAAGUAUCCAAGAAAAGCAGCCAGAUACGAACCAAAGUUGAAAAUACGAGUUUUCUAUUGAUUCUGCCCUUAGAUAUUAGCAAUCAAUCAGACCAGCAACAGCAAGAUAAAUAUAUAAAGUAAAGCAUUCCCUUAACAAAAAAAGAAUCUUUGGCACGAUGUCAUUAAGUAAAGUCAUCAAGAAUCUUUGGAGAACCAAAAAAGAACAUAUUGGCACAAUGUAGUCCAAUUAAGAGAAAAAUACACAAUUAUAAAUAAAGAAUUCUAGGUAUCUAGUAAGGGUGCCAGCAAUCAAUCAUUUCUUUGCAGUGAGCUAAGGGUAGCUUAUAUGCUAAGGCCACCCCUCACCAAAGCAAUAUGUCACUGUUGACUCUAAUUAUUCCAUCACAGCACCCUAAUAUCCUUCCCAAUGUCAUGUACUCCAAAGGAAAAAAAAAGAAGAAAGAGGAUUCAUUUUCGAUGCAUCAAAUUUACCAUAAUUGCACCAGAGAGAGAGAGAGCAAUCUAAAAACGAGCCUUAUUAAUAGAUUAAGCAGAUAACAUGAAUAAAAUCAGUACCCCCUUGCUCUGUAAACUCAAACAAGCAAAUAAAAGUCCCACAAAUUUUUAUACCAAGAAACUACAAAAAAUCAAGGUUCAUCAAAGAAAAUCCAAAAGAUUGAACAAUCUAGAGACCAGAAGCUAAAAAAUUAGUACUACUACAAGUAUGUAGUUUGUGCAGUAGCUGUUAUACCUUCUUGAGAGAAAGAGCAAGGCGUUUACUAUCCAGCUUCCCUUUAGGCAUGGAGUCAAGAUUGUUUCUAGCGCAAUUAAAGGCGUGGUUCUGCAAAGACACCGCCAUAUCAGAAGCUCUCAAACGUACAUUCAAUCGUUCAUGCUGCUCUUUUUGCUCCACAGCUUUCUUCUUCAGUAUUAAGCUGUUCAAGAACUUGCUUCUUCGCUCCAACUCUGCCUCAGCUGCCUCCAUUUUCACCUUCAGCACCCCUUCAUUUAAAACUCUAUAUUCUCGCAAGAUUUCCAGAUAUGGGAUUGCUUUUAUUUCAUUUUAUUUUAAUUUUUUUGUUUCUUCCAGCUUGAGGGAUUAGAGUUAUUUUUGGUGAGGUGGUUAAGAAGAUUAGGAAACAAGAGUCUCGAGUAUAGUAGCUGAACAGCACUGCACUUUUUUGUUGUUUGUUUUUGGCAUAUUUUUCGGACAUUUCGUUUCUUUUAAGACAGUUGUUGCGUGGAUACGAGGUCGUUGGGGACGCCAAAAUUUUGUUUAGGCGGAAAUUCUGGUCCAGCAUGGGCUAUAGAACCUGUUUGUCUAUGGUUUUUUACAUUUCUUCUUUUUCUCUAGGAGUCCUGUUAUAAUUUUUUUUUGGUUAUUAAAGUUCUCUUAAAAUACUGAAUUCAACAAUAUUGAAAAUUAAUCACCACAAGCAAAGUGAGCAGUUAUUAUUAAGAAGAAAUAUCGAUUUUAUCCUUAGAAAGUAUUAAUUUUGCGCUGUUAAUACUUUUCUCUUACCUUUUAAUGUUAUCCAGGUAAAAAAAUAUCUUUUUCGCCAUUUAACAAUUAGUUUACGUUUCCUUUAUUUCUUUUACUCUCUCUCUCUCUGUAAUUUUUGAACAAUGGGUCUUCUAGGUCACCGUCUUUGAAAUAUGUAUUUGGUCAAUUGAUUCUCAAUGUGUGCAGUAGUUGCCAGUCAGUCCUAAUGAUGCUUUACUUCCUAUCUUUGGGAAGUUAUUGGACCAAAAUUCUUGAUGAUUUUGGGUUAAAAUGUGAUAAUUGUCGAGCAUAACUAGAUAAAUCAUCGAAUAAGUUUGAAUAUAAUUUAUGUUUGGAUUGUAAUUUUUUAUAAAAAAAAAAAAUUACAUUUUUUUAAUAUAUUUUUUAAUAAUCUUUUUUCUUUAUAUACAUCAACUGAUACAUUAUAUUGUUCUGUACAACUGGUUGUAGUAUCGGUAAUGGUCAAUAUAGCACACGGACAUUUGGCAAGUGCCAAAUUGCCAAUACAAAAAAAAUCUUAUUUUGGCUCUUUUUACAGUAACAAUACACAAGUCAUUCCUACACUAAUCUCUCUUCCUUUGAGUUCUUUCUACCGUAGAACUUUGCAUUUUUAAUGAAUGACCUUUCUUAUUGUUUUUAUCUUAGAUUUUUGGUAUCAUAAAAAUGAGGGAGGUUGUGUUCUGCUAAUAAAUAUCCUCAAGAAGAAAAUUAAGGGGGUUGUGCAUGUCCGGAACAUUUUCAUACCAGAGUUAACCAUUUGUCAUGAUCGACAGGUAAAAUGCAAUGAAUUUGCUUAAUAAGGACAUUACUUUGUGAUUCGGAGCAAGUACUUGCUAGGAGUGUAAAUGACUAAAUGAGUUUAACACUAAUAUUUAAAUUUGUUUGAUUAUUUUAACGAGUUUAAAAUUACAUUCAAAUUUAGUUUAUUUAUUUAACGAACUGAACUCAAACUAACUUUUAUCAAGCAAGUUUAAAUAGUUUGUAUUUUUUACUCAAAAAUUAGAAAUUUUAUAUUAAUCGAGUCAAAUUUAAUCCGAGUUUGAAAGUUUAUUGAGCAUAAAAUACUAUUUAAGUUUGAUUUGAUUGGUUCAUAUUAAAUCCAACUCGAUUAAAAGUAUCGGAUAGUUUGAUUCAUUUUUCAAUCCUAACGCUAAUAUAUUAGGCUGAGAUUACAUAACAAGGAAGCAAAUUUGUCAAAACUACUAGAAUAUAAACCAGGAAAACAUUGAAUGGAUGGUAAAUACUACUAUCACUUCAGUGAUAGCACGAAUAAUGAAAAGGAGAAAAUAAAACAAGAAUGGGGCCAAUUGCCAAGCAAGCAAGGACUAAAAGCAGAAUGAAAAUAUGAAAAGAGACCGCAGAGCAUCAAUGUUUGAUAGAUAUUGGUCAGACAAAGUAAGCGGAAGUCACGGGAAAAGCUGUGUGCAGGGGCCCUUCUAGUUAUUUAGACCUCCACCUUUGAAACGUGGUCGGUUCGGUUUAUUCCUAGGGUUAGAUUUUGCAUUUUGUCUGAUUCUUUCCACAAUGUUAUGCUUCUAUGCAGCAAUGAGGCAUGCAUUUGACCUUGUGGUGUUCAAUGCUUUGACGAUUUGGCCUUGUUUGAAAAUUCAUUUUUUUUCCAAAAAAUUUUUACAUUUUUUUGAACACAUUUCUUAAUAUUUUUUUAUUUCAUGUACGUCAAAUCAUCACAGUAUAUUUUUCUUCAAAAAUUCCACAAAAAAAAAAAAAAACAAUCGGUCCUAAUUAGUAUGAUAGAAUUGUAAUCAUCGAUAGGAAAAGAGCACUUACUCUAGUGCCCAUUUCACCAUUUUCAAAUACUAGUUAAUACUUGUCUUAUCAGCAUUUCACCAUUUGAAAAUGUCUAUGCUACCUUUUGACACUUAAUUCUUCACAAUUGACUUUGAAGGCUCACAAAAUUGUCUAAAAAAGAAUAUAAAGUCACAAGAAGAUUAAUUGUUUGUCUGGUUUCUAAGCAAAACUAAGACAAAAAUGAAUUGAGGAAACAUGUAAACUGAACUCCAAUUUCAGCACCCAUUAUUGUUUGACCAUCUUCAUUUUUCAACAAAACUUCUAUUCUAUUUGAGAAAAAAUAUGACACGAACACUCCCUUUUGCAUUUCAUAUUUCUACACACUUUCUCUCUUAAAAAAUAUAGAAUACCAAUUUGCCAAAGUUGGAAUGAUUUGAUUCCCUACAUUGUUUAUCCAUAAAGCUACCUUCUUCUUCAGGUAACUUCAUAAUUACUAUGUUAAGAUGUUGGGAAGGGUUGGGUUGGAUGAUAAAGUAGAAGGGAUUAAAAGAUUUUGAAUUUAAAAUCUUCUACUUAAAAAGGAAAAAAAGAUGCUUAUGUGAAAAAAAGAAGAAGUUAUGAUGCUUAUGUAUUUUCUUGCCAAUAGACUUUCAUUCUACAUAGCUUGAAACCUAGAUAAGGUGCAAUUCCAGUACUUAUUUAUAGAUUAUUAGAGGUCAACAUUUACUGACUGAAAAUUUUCGAUUGGAUAGCAACCAGAGAAGUGAAAAGAAAAAGGAUAAACAACCCAUAAUUAAAGGGAUACUAUAUUAAAGAGGCCACAUCAACUUCUCACGUGAUGGUGCCUUUGGGCAUUAUUGAAGUGCCUGUUGACUGGAUUGCCGUAUGAGCAAGGUUCAAGAAUUUCCCUAUAGGGCUUUUACAAUUGCAUCUUUAGGCAGGCCUACCGCAAUAUCAAAAUUUUCAUCCCUCAAAAAACGAAUAUAUGAUUAAUUAAUGAGCUUAGAAGUUAGAGCUUUCUAACUUUAAUUAAUCAUGGGACAACUAAUUGAUUGUUUGCUAGAAUUAUUUCAUGACUAUCAUUUUCAAACUCAAAUUUUCAGUAGCUUAUCUUCACUAUGCUUGGAAAACAGUGAGUCUAUGGAAUCGUCUAGAUCAUUUGCGUGAGAUACAAAAAUAUAAAAUUCACUUUUGAACCAACCUUAUUUAUUAAAAUCUUCCCGACAUUAGCCAGACGAUUAUGAGAUUAUUUCUUUGAUUUUUAGUACCUUUCAUUUUUCUUUCCCUUUAUAAGGUUUAGAUUCUCCCAUAAAGCAAAUAAAUAUUACUUCAUCGAGGUCGGUUGUAGCCCUGCCAAUCCUAUGGUUGAAUGUUUUUUAAAGUAAUGUGGUGCAUAAGAAAAAUGAUGGAAUAAUGACUAUUGCAAAGUAAGAUUUAUAUACAGUGAUUUCUUCUUUGCCACUAACAAGGAAGAUAAAGAGUUUGUAAGCCUGUGGAAGUUUUUCUCCAUAAAUACUUCGAAUCUAGUGACUUGCACAUUCCUCGACCUAUCCUGUCAUUACACUGCAUUAUUCUUCAUUACAGACAAAUUAACUUGAAAUUUCUCAAUACAUUCUAUACAAGAUCAUUUAAUUUCUAUUCAAUCUAUAGAGCCCUUUUCAACGCGCCAUAUAUAUCUUCAGCUGAAACAUUCAAGUCAAUAGGCUCGUUUUCUGUAGCUAAUUUGCCUUUCGUUGAAGUAAUUUUGCCACCAACUUGAAGCCCACCACUGGUUGAUGUAAGAUCACGAUAGCUUUGAUGCCUGGUCAUUGUUUUUCCCGCAAAAAUCCCAUCUCUCAUUGAAGCCGGAGGCCAAGAAAGUAAACCUUUGCCUUCACUAGAUUUUGUUCGUAAUAACCAUGCACUUUUGUCUUUAGCUGUCUGAAGGGUUUGCAACUUUUUUUCUGUCUUGCUCACUGACGCAUUUGCAUAAUCAGCUUUAGCAGGCUGUAUCCGCUUGACAUGAUUCGCUGAGGGUGCUUCAUACAAUGUUAACCAGUUGCUUAAUGGAUGAACAGGAAGUUGAUCAUUGGUGGCUGGCGGAAAAAGCUGACAUUUUGUGGUUUCUGCUUCUUCAGCUUGCAAGUUCUGCCCAUUUAUUGUCCUUGGAACCUUCGCUUAAGAGCAAUUAGAAUCUAGUUGUAGUACAGAUGUUGAUAUUGGUCAUAUAUAUCGUGUGUGAGAACAAAUUGUAUGUGCAUUAUCUGACAUACUCGAUUUGUUAGGCUUGCGAUACUUUGCUUAUAAACUUUUGAUUAAGGUAAUUCAACCAGUCAAAUUUUAUAGUAUAGUUUGCACUUGCAUCGCGAUUGGUUGACUAGAAGCUUAUUAUAAGAUAGGAAUUAGACACAUGAAUAACACUUGUACCUUUGAAGUGUAAAUUAACAUACACAAGAAUGAAAUCGAGAGUCACCGUAUUCAAUAGACUCAAAAUACUUCACUAUUAGAUAAAAAUUGAUUGAGAAAUUAGUUACCAAAUACCUUAAAAGCAUUUUUGAUGGUUAAAAGAAAUGCAUUACAACCCCAAAUGUGGUCUCAGUCUAACACACAUAUAUGAUCACACAUUGCAUAGCCCUAGGUUAAAAGCCAUCAUGUAGGUAAAAUGUGCGAAAUAUUGGAUUCAACUGUUGCAGAAUUGAUUGUACAAGAAGGGAAGAAUAUACUAAUGGUGUGAAGCCAGUACACACCAUGAAAAUAAAAUUGUAAAGUUACCGAUGGCAGCCCAUAGCCGGCUUGAAUUGUCAUGUGUGUCUUGACCAUUUAUGAAAAGUACCAUCAUUUGGGCUUUAACUAUUUAGGUGCAGUACUAUUUUAAGAAUCCAGUUAUCUGCAUCGAUCUUGGCUUAGAAAUUCGAAAUUGUGGCAUCGAAAAAGGAAAGGGCUGCAGCUUUAUACAAUCUAAUAUCAGGGUUGUCAAUCUUAGGAUAUUCAGAAUAAUCUUCUUGCAGUUAUAUUCCAUAUUGGAACUUUUCAAAAUUAGUUACCGGGCUUGAUAUAUCGAUUAUAGAUUAUUGAACAGUCCAAGUAAAGAAAAUGGACAAUGGACAUUUUUCUCAUUACUUUGCAAUUCUGAUUCAACAUAGCAGAAUCAAGGUUUAAGACUGAAAAAAAGGGUUUAAGACUGAUAUUAUUUUCUUUUUAGAUAAUUAGUGUGAAAGACACCAAAAAAAAAAAGGAAAAAAAGUGAAGUUCAAUGACAUUAUCUAAUAAAUACCUCAAUCUCUUUGUAGCUAUUCGUCUGCCCUUCAAUCAGUGGGCUCUUUCCUUUGCUCGUUUGGAUGCGUAUUGAUGCUCUAAAACGAAAUGUUUACGAUUUUGAAACUGGAAAAUCCUUAAGAAAAUUAAUUAACAUCAGUUUUCUUACUCAUUCAUCUGCCUUGCAAGAUUCCUUCUUUGCUCUUUCUCUUGAAUUGCUUCCAACAUCAUCCCUGCCAUGGGAAAAGAUGAUAAGAAUAUAUGUACACCAGUAGGCAGAAAACAUUUUCAGAUAUCGGAGGCAGAUGUACAUAAAGGAGUCUUCUCAUGUUGAUAAUGAAAAUUAAUGAUAAAUAAAACAAAAAUGAGAGAGAUAGAGAGAGAGGGUCAUCUUACUACUACCACUCCAUGCAGCUUUUGUAUAGGCUGCCCCAUAUACUUCUUGACUUAGCCUGUACUUCUAAAAUUAAGAAGGAGAACUUAGUGCUAGUUCAAGCAAACCUGAUCUCCAAUUCACCUCUUUGAAAUAUUGGAAAUUAGGAUACCUGGAGAUAACUUUUAAUAUGGUCUGUAGUAAUUUCCUUGAUUCCCAUAACUUUGACUAUAUCUUUUGGAGUUGCUUCUACAUGCAUGGCAAAUUUUCUAUUUAGCUGAAGAAAUUUAAGAACUAAGGAGUAUGUUUGCUUCCCAAAAUUGUUUUUGAUGAAAUUAGAUUUUUUUUCCCUUACCAUAUGCUCCUCCAAGCUGAUUUACCGCCUUAACGAAGCAAUCAUGGAGUAAUUUGGUCCAUUUUAACCUAAACUUCUUCUUGCCUUGGACCUGCCCACCGUUCUUUGCUUCCAUUCUUCUUUAUCGUCUUGAAGUCUCUGUUCUGGCCUCAAUAUAUUUCUGGAGUUUUUGGUUUUUUUUGCGGUAGAUUGUAAAAAGCAUGAUAUCAGAACAUAUUGAUAUCAAACAAUUUAGAAGACAACAUUGCAUAUCAUGCAUAUGCAAGGAAUACUGAAGUUAGGUUUUCUUUUUAUAGACUCAUUCCCCCAUCUCACCUAACUCAGAUGUUGCCGCAAGAAUAAUCUUUCUUCUUUUUCUUUAUAAUGGACCCUACUUUUCUUUUUGACUGUUUUAGUUAUUAACUUUUUAUUUUCUCAAUCUAGAGGGUGUGUUUUCAUUUCAUUGUUGAUUAGCUCCAAGUAUUCAGAAGCUAGCAGAAAAUCUUGUACACUCACGUACUCUUCUGGACCAUGAUUAUUGAAAACUCUUUCUUUUCGUUACAUUUCAUGUAAACAUGUUUUGCCAAGUCCAAAAGAAAAAAAAAGUAUACCUGCAUAUUCUGAUGUAUCAUGUUUGUCCUGAUUCCCUAGUCUUAUAGUGGAUAUUUUUGCCUAUAUUCGGUAUUUUCAAAUUUUGGAUCGCAUCCAGUGCAAGAGAAUGAGAGAUAUAGGAUAAGGGGUCGGACCAAAUAUAAAGGAACAACGAUUGGUUCAAUUAGUUCUUAAUCCUUACACGUUUUUUGUUUUAUUACUUAGGAAAUGUGAAUUUACCAAUUAAUCCGAUCCUUAUUAAUUAUUGGAUUUGCACCAUUAGUUGUUAAAGGUCAGAAGCUUGUUGCUCUUACACACACUAGUUAUCGAGGCACACUUGAUGCAUGUGCAACUUGUCAAAAAAUAUUUUUAAUUGAAAGAAUCACAAAAAUAGUGCAAGUAAAUAUAAUUAUUUUAUGUAAUAUGUAAUAAAACUGUAUUAGACAGAAAUAUGUAUAAUUGGAAGUAAAAAACUGUCAAUAAGGAAGAACGUGAGAAUUGAAGGGAGGUAAUUUUGGUUGGAUAGAAUUUGUGUAUCAGUUGAUAAUAGAAAUAAAGAUUAAUGGAUAAUAAACUUAAGGAUUAAUGGAUAACAGAGAUAAAGGUAACUUUGGAAACAAACAAAGUUAGAACCAAGUUAACACUUACAUAGGCUUUAUCGAGGCACACUCGAUGCGUGUAUAACUUGUCAAAAAAUAUUUGUAAUUGAAAGAAUUCCAAAAAUAGUGCAAGUGAAUAUAAUUAUUUUAUGUAAUAUGUAAUAACAAUGUAUUAUACAAAAAUACGUAUAAUUGGAAGUAAAAAACCGUUAAUAAGGAAGAAUGUGAGAAUUAAAGGGAGGUAAUUUUGGUUAGAUAGAAUUUGUGUAUCAGUUGAUAAUAGAGAUAAGAAUUAAUGGAUAAUAGAAAUAAGGAUUAAUGAAUAACAAAAAUAAGGGUAAAUUUGGAAACAAACAAAGUUGACACCAAAUUAACACCUACAUAGGCUUUAUUAUUGUAGAGAGGAGACUAGAUCGCUGUAAAACAUUGCAUCUACCUUGAGUUUAAUAUUUCUAAAUAUGGGACAAUGGUUUUCUUCAGACAAUGAUCUCGUUAAUGUUGGUAUUAGGCAAUGCUGCUCUUUUUAUUAGUGUACCUCUUUUGCCCCAUUUUUAGAAUCCUUUCUAUUUCAGCUAGCUAUUUGGAAUCUUUGCAUUUUGCGGAUAUGGAGAUACCCCAGUGGGCCAACUUAGUGAAAGCAGGUUCUCUUUUCCUAUCUAGAAGCACUUUUCUUUUUCUUUCUAAUAAUGGAAGGAUGCCACAAGUGGUUUCUUUCCAUUUAUUGGAAUCAAGAAUACAUGUGAGCUACUAAGUUCAUUAGAUGGUUCUACAAAAUAUGGAAUCUCCAUUCAUGAAAAGCUAUAACAAAAAGUCACGAAGAUGUUCCUCCUUUAGCGUUCCCAAUCCCACUAUAAUUGAAUAUAUUCUUAUCUAGACCUCUUAAGUUUUACUAUUGCCCUAAUUCACCCAUUAUAAUCAAGGUCCCGUUUGGCAAGUGAGUUUUUUGAGUAUUUAUUUAAAAUUUUACUAUAAUUUACUGUAGAAGUUGUAGAAAAAUUUUUUGAAGUGUGUAAAUUUUUGGAUAUUUUGAAGUGUAUAGUUUAAAAUUUUUGAGAAAUUUUUUGAGAUUACCGUAAUUAAAGUUGUUAAAAAAUUUGUAACAGAUAAACUUGGCCAAAAAAUUGCUUGCCAAACAAGGCCUUGAAAACUGGCAAAAAUAACUCCUAUGAUUUUGAAAAGUUACCUCAAAAGCCUCUCUUACUUCUUAAUUUAAAUAAAGUGUCACAAGGGCUAGUGAUCAAGGAGUUGAACACUUGCUCAAUUUAAACCACUAGUCGUAAGGGCUAGUGAUCAAGGAGUUGAACACUUGCUUGGUAGAUCAAGAUUCAAUCUUGGUUGGCAGGAUUGGAGUAGGGAGGUAAUAGGCAAGUUAGGGGAAGUAAAAAAAAAAAAAAAAACUAUCAUUCUCAAUUUAAGAGCUUGGCAUGCCAAAAGUGAAGUACUCCACUCAUAAUUAACAAAUUGCAAUUGAUUAAUAAUUUGGAAGUCUCUCGCAAUUCUGUGCUAUCAAAAAUACUUUUUGGCAAGAGACGAUAUUACAAAAUCAUCAAUCGUUGAUCAAGAUACAAUUAGUUCUAUAAUUAGUUCAACAACUUGCACAUAAAUGGAGGGAAGAAAUGGGAAGGAUUUUAAUCCUCGUUUCCAAUGCCCCAUCACGGUCGCAUGCGCCUCACUCAUUCUCAUACAUGUGAAUAGCAAAUUAUCAGUACCUCAGCCAAUGAUUUUUCACCCAAAAAAUAAACCAAAUGUCCAUUUUAUGAAUAGCGAAAAUUGUGAGGUACAAAGUGGUAGAAAACUUUGUUGAGGGGCAAAGCAAGACAUGGCUAGACUUCAAAGUGACACUGGUGGAAUUUUGCUUUAUUAACGGCACUAGUCUGUCAAACUAGGUAUAUUUUGGCAAGCUUGAGACAGCAUGCUCAUCUAUUUCAGAAAGCAAGAAGAAAAGGGCAUACAGAAAAGGGGUGACCGUGAUUCGUGAGCCCAGGAAAAUAUCUUUGUUCACUUUCUUUAUACAUGCUCGAGUCACUAAACCUUUUUUGCUUUUUUUUUUUUUUCCCAUUAGUGAAGAUUCGCUUGCUUUUGCAUUUAACUUAACAGAGCAAGGUCUUGGUACAGUUGGAAUUUUUGUACAAUUAUCUAGUUAUUCUACUCUUUAUAUGAUAUGAUAUACAUUUUUUUGAUUUUGUUAUACCUAUAAAUUUUGUUCAUGUACACUAAUUUAAUAUAUAAAUACAACCGCGUAACGUACUCUAAGUUAUGGACGAAAUAAAAUAACUAUACCCAACCAUACCUGUAUCCCUAACUCAAAAUACCCCUGAGAAAAGAUAGAUGAGGAUAGAGAAGAACGAUUUCUUCUGCGAAGAGACUGCCCUUUCAUUUAGGAUUGGCAUAUGCAAUUGGCUUUUACAAUUGUUUAACCCUUGAUUCGUUAACUAUGGCCUAUCGGCACCACGGCCAACCCCAUGCUAACAAACACAUGUUUACGUAUGGACAGAGACUAGAUAACAGCACAUAGAUAUCUCUUAUGCAUUGAAAUGGGGCAUCCUAUUGAGUGUUGAAAUGCCAAUCAGCUUUCCAGUCCCUCCCAUUUUUGGCCAACACAUAGAUAACAUCACCAUAAAGAUAAAUUACAAGGGGAACGGAUCUUCUAUCUCACUUUUUGUGUCACUCUCGAUUCUAUUUUUUAUUAUAUUGUUAUUUGUCAUUUAUAAGUAUCAUAUUUUAGUUAUUUUUUGUUUCCUUAAAAUCCAAUAGCUAUUAAUUAAGUAAUACACAAAAUUUAACAAACUCAAAAAAUUAAAAUGCAUAAAAAAUAAGAUUUUUAAAUUUUCUAUUAUAUAUUGCUCUUUUAGGAUUAUUGUAUUUAUUUUUAUUCAGUUAAUAGUUAUUGAAUUUUAAGGAAACAAAAACAAACUAAAAUAUGUUGUUUAUGAAGGAGAAAACAAUAUAAUAAAAAGUGGAACAAAGAGUGGCUCAAAGAGUGAGAUUGAAGAUCUGAUGCGCAUAAAAUUUUACAAAUGACAAAAAGCCUAUUUCAAAUAAACCAAUAAAGAUAGGGUGAAAGUUUGAAUUUUUGUACUUCAAUUUCUUCUCUUUUUAUUUUUUUCUUUUUGUUUAGUUGUCUUUUUUUUGCAACAUUAAUUUAGAAACCUAAUAAUUCAUUUUCGUAUAAUUAAGAACAAAAGUGUGACCAACUUUGUACUUUUAUUUUUUUUAAUGGAUCAAAAAGAUGCAUAAUACUGUCAAGGUUGUUAAAGUAACUUAUAUUGAUACUUUUAUUUCUUUUUAACUACAUAAAGAUAGUAGGUUCCUAAAUUCUAAACCAAACCAAAUCAAGACUUUUAUGGCUAAAAAAGGGAAAACAAUUAUGAACUUGAAACUUUUUAUCCUCUGGAAAAUGACAAAUUGAAAUGAAAAUACAAUUUAUUUUGGAAGAAAACAUAGAAUAAUAAAAUUUUUAAGAUUUGUAAAAAAAUAAAAUACGUAAAAAUAAAUUCAAAAAAAUCGACAAAAUAAGAAUGUAGUCUCUAGGUGAAUUUUAAACAAAUUCUCUUAAUUAGACAAAUUGUAUGUGCUUGGUUUACUUGGUUUUAUUUUUCUUUUAUUUGAUAAAUGAAUUUAACAAACUUCUCGUGACUUUUGACAACACUAGUCAAAACUAAAUUAAUGAUUUUAAUGUGAAACCACAUUGAAAACUAAAAUGGUUUGAACUUCCAAUAUAAGAACGUUUUCAAUUGAAUUGAUGAUUUCUUUAUUAGAUUUUGCAUUUGUUUUGUCUUUAAUAUAUUGUCUCAAAUCGUUGAAGAGUUUACUAUGAGUUAAAAUUUUCAUAGUUCUAAAUUGCUUUUCUAAGUGCUAGCAAAAGAUUUGUGAUGUUUAUUAUUAGGGAAAAGGUUACGUGUGUCAUUUAACAUGUGAAUUCCUUAAAAUAACUUUUCAAAAUAUGAAAUAAUUAAUCCAUUUAAUUAAGCAAAUUAUUUCUUAUCCAUAUUAACGUGCACACAAUAGAAAAUCCCUAAGUUAAUUAUUUAAAUUCGGUCAAACAUCUGAUAACCAAAUUCUACGCAAUUUCACCCCUAGCUAUGAAAUUGAAAUUACUUGUGACAUGAUGAAGAUUAAUUGCUAAAUUCCUGAUCAUGAUGCGGAGAGAAUACUAUUGUAUGAUAGAAGUUUAUGAUUUUGAUAUCAUCGAUUGUUUAUGAACCUAAGUAAACACCAUGUCAAGCAAGGCAUGCCAUAAGAUUUUGAAAAUUGAAAUGUGGGUAUGUCACGAAUUUAUAUUAAGUGUAGUUAUAUGUGCAGAAUUGAUGAAGAUUAUUGAAUUAAAAUUGGAAUGAUGAUGAUGGGCUGUACAAUUAUUGGGAAGAAAGAGUAAGUAAUACAAGUUACUAAGAACCGCAAAAGUACGAGUAAUACAAACAAGUAUUACCAAUGGGUUGGCGUAUUAAUAUAGUGUUGGCAUGGUCAUUCCUGUGGAUAAGCAAGCAAUAUAAUUAGACCAUUCAUCCGGGCAUUUGCAUGGACAUCUUUUAUCUACGAAUUUUAAUUUUCCAAAAAACAUGGAUAUAAACAAACUAAAGCGAUAGAUUAAUGAAUGUAAGACACUAAACACAAAACGUGCUCUGAAAGUUACACAGAAUAAGAAUAAUUAAAUAAUAUACUAUUGAUUGAUUACUUUCCAAUGAAUCUUAACCCUUGGUUCAAUGGUGACAUGUUAAGAAUUAUAGUAAUAUUUCAUACUACUUUAGAGAAGUGUAAAGAAAAGAUUGUAGGAAUAAGUAAAGUUCCUUUAACAGAAAAUGAACAAAUGGAUGUCCACCGAAACAUUAGGUGAACGUGAUUGUAAAAAACUAGUAAUUGAUUUUGAACUUUGUAUAUAGAAGAUAUCUUUUCCUUGUUUGUAAGUUAUAUAAUGGAUGAAAUUUGUUGAAAUAUGCAACUUCUCUGCAGACUUUUCGAGAUAUUCUAGCACCAGGAUAAAUAAAAUAGUUGUUGAAUAAAUCUAAUUAUUAGGAGUUGUUCCAUAUUUUUAGUAUUUGGUUAUUUCUAGUUUGUUAGAAUUUUCAAAUUCCUGUUAAGAUUGUUUAGGAGAUUUGUUAGUAGAAGAUUGUGUUGAGUUGUUAACGAAUAUUUUUUGGUUAAGAUUUGUUAGGAGAUAUUUGUGGUUGGCUGUUAUUCUACUUCUAUAAGGUACUGUUUCUUAGUUUAUAUCCAAAGAAACCAAAAAGUGAUACUAAGAGCCUAUAUCUUAAAAGCAUAUGUUGUUUUUAGAGUGCAUGUAUUCGAUGAAAAUCUUUAUUAGUUCAAACUCAUGACAAGAAAGAUCUUACUGUCAAAUGUUUCAACUUUUAGUGAUAAAACUUACCAAAUUUGGGCCAUUAAAUUCUUGACUUAUUUGGUAGUCAAUGAUCUACGGGAUAUGGUGGAAACAAAUUUUGUUUCACCGCUAUUUAAAGAACCGAUGGAUAUAUAAAUUAGAAAUUAUAAAGUUGCAGUUAGACAGAGAUCCAAAUCUAACAUUCACGUAUCAUUUUUUGAUGGUUUUUUCACAAGGAUAAUGGCUUAUGAUUUGAUUGAGAAUAAACUAUUCUUAAUUAAAAUGAAAAAAAAAGGUUUCACUAUGAAUCAGAUUUUGACAAUUCUAAAGUGAAACAUGAUGAAAUCAAAAUUUAAAUACUGAUAAAAUUUAGGAGGAGAUCAUUGAUAAACCAAUCAAGGGAGCUUAUAUUGUAAUGAUUCAUGAAAAAUUCAAGGAUGAUCGUGAUGACAAAAUUUGUGAAGAACCAUAUAGAAGUUUUAGAACUUGUUUCAUAUAUCUCAUAACAAGUAUUUUAUGUGUUAUAUAUAUUUUCUAUAUAGGUUCAAAUAUUGUAGAAGGGUAUUCCACUUUGAACCUAUAAGAGGUUUAUUUGGAAACAUCAAAAAACUAUCUUUUAUUUGGAGUUGGGCAUAAGAAGUCAAAAGGAGUGAUUUGUUACAAGGCUAAUCUUCAGCUUGCAUAAAAAGCCAAAAGAAGAAGUUCAUUGCAAAGCAAAUUAUCAGUUGUAGAGCUUCUUAUAAAAGUCUUGUCCAUAACAAGGUUCAAAGAUUUGAUAAGACAAUUCAAAAUUUACAAUAAAAAUAGCAAGGAGAAGUGUCGGAAUAUGCAACUUCUCUAUAGAUUUUUCUAGGUUUUCAAGCUCUAGGAUAAAUAACAUAGUUGUCAACUAAAUCUAAUUAUUGGGAGUUGUUCCACAUUUUUAGUAUUUGGUUACUUCUAAUUUAUUAGAAAUUUCAGAAUUUGUUAAGAUUGUCUAGGAGAUUUGUUAGCAAAAGAUUGUAUUGAAAUGUUAACAAGUAUUUUUUGGUUAAGAUUUGUUAGGAGAUAUUUAUGGAUAAUUUGUUAUUCUACCUUUAUAAAAGGGGAAAUUGAUGAAUGAAAUUAAGUCAUUUAUUUUGUAACACUAACUAAGGUAUUAUUUCUUAGUUUAUGCCCUAAAAAACUAACAAAUGUAUAGUUUCUCAUUUUUUACGAAAUAGAGGUUAGACACCCUAGAUGGAAUAUAAAAAAUAAAAAAAAGACAAAUGAAUAUAGAAUAUGUACAUGCAGUUACGCUUAAAAAUAUUUUAAAAGAACUAAUGGUUGUGAAAAUUUUCAUUUACUCACAUAACAGAAAUUUGAAAAAAGAAAACUAAUUUGGGAGGGAAUAUUUUAUUUAGUUAAAGAAAAACCUUUAACAAUAUUUGUUCAUUGUAUGGAAAUUUUUGGGGACCAAUUAAUUUUGCAUCCGAACCCUACAUCUUCCUUACACGUAUCCACUUCUUAUAGUAGGGGCUUCCCCCACAGACAGAUCCGUCCACUCUGCACGUAACCAUCUUUGUGUGAUCCAAUAGAACGAGGUGGUCUCAAGAAUCUAUACUGAAGUUAUCCUCUAACCUGUAAGACCUUUUUACAGCAUCUGUACAAAGUUUCUCAAAAGCUAGUUUCUAACAAUAAAGAGUUUGGGAAUCAAAUUCAACAUCACUCACAAAGUGGUGGACUAUUCUGAGAUUCUUGUUAGAAAAUUUUUUAGAAUCACAUUAGAAAAAGUUAAGAUGAUCAAUUUAUUAUAAUUGAAGAAAAGCUUAAUACCAUAAUUGGACUUUGACAUGGUGACUAAUCAAAAAUUUUUCGUGUUUAAUUUGCAUAGUGAAUCAAAGUAACCAUUGCAUGCAGUUCAAUUACUGUCUAAACGUUCUGCGGAAAUGGCUAUAGAACCACAUUAUGUCAUUUCAUUGACACCAAGAAACUCUAUAACAUCGCUACUUGAGAUGAUAAGACCUGAACCACAGUUUAUCAAGCAGAAAUGAACAAAAUUUUUCAAGCCUUUUUCUAUUUUGUGCCCUAAGGAUACCGAAAAAACAUACAAAAUCGAAGUAUUUGUCCUGCUAGACACUUCAAACACAAUAAUCUACCCCUUGAAUCGAGAAACUUUAGCUAACGAAAUCCAAACUUUUCUUUGUGGCAUACAAAUUCAAACUUUUCUUAUCAUGUGUCUUUGUGGCAUGAAGUAAAAGAACUUAUUAUUCAUUUAUUCUUUUUUUUUUAAACAAGGGCCACAUGAUGGACAGAAUUAUCUAUUUCUCUCUUUUAUCUUUUCAUAUAAUUGAUUCACAGCACAGAUGAUUGCGUUACAGAUGCACUACAUGGGCAGAGUUACAGCAAUAAUUAAUUUUCACGGGCUGGUCCUCUUUUUCUGUGCUCAGAAUUCUCCAUGUAGACUAAUUAUUCGGGUAGAAUAUUAUUUGUGUUUCCAAAAUCUAAUUUAGCUGAUAGAAAUAUUAGUGAAGCAAUCCUAAUGUCUUCAACUCUCAACUCCUCCCUUCUUCUCUUCUUCUUCUUCUGAGGACUACUACAUUGUAGACUGGCUCGCUAUUCGUUCCACGUGAGAUAACAACGUUGAAUCAAGUUCCGCAUUAACAGGGCUUAGCUUAAGUCUCAAUUGGAUUUAGUCUGGCCAGACAUUAAUUCUUAAGGUCAAGUAGGGGUGGAGAGCAGCAUAGUUUAUGGAAGAAGAUAUGGAGGCUGAAACUGAAGCAUAAACUCAAGCACUUCCUGUGGAGAUGCCUCAAAAGGAGCUCUACCUACCAAUGAACUAAUGUUCAAGAGAACUCAAAAAGGAGUACCCUGGAGCAAGCAGUGUGGCAAUGAGAUUGAAACUAUGGAACAUGUGUUACUGAACUGUCCAAAGGCUUAAGAAAUAUGGAAAUUUGCUCCUAUUAAAUGGGAUGUUUGGAAGGGAAAAAAUGGAAUUUCUGGGAAUGGUGGGAAGGAGUAAUGAGUGCGAAGAAAAGGAAAGAUGGAAACUAGCACAUUGCACUAACGGUUAACAUAUUGUGGACAAUCUGGAAAGAAAGGAAUAAUUUUCCGUUCAAUGGUAGCAGAUGUCACUUUGUGGAUGCUGUACAUAAAGCAUGGAGAGAACGGGAAGAAUAUGACAGGCUGGGAUGGGAAAGUACAAAGAGAGCAAGGAAUCAAGAAGUCUGGAAAGGAGCAUAAAGGAUGAUACCGGAGUGGACAGACACACAGUAAUGAUAUAUGUGGCAGCGAGCAAGAACAGAAUUGGAAGCAAAACUGGGAUCGGUAUUUCUGCACACAGCUGGGAGGGAGAGGACUCAUAGCAUUAUGAGCUCUACCUGAAAAUAAGGGUGGAACACCAGAGUUGGAGAUGGCCGAGGCAAAUUAAAGUUAUAGCUGAAGGUACGAGAUGGAUAGAAUUGCUGAGAAACAAGAAUGCAGACGAUGCAACAUUGGGAACAUUACUCGAGGACAUUUCAUCCUUGCAGCAUUUUUUUUUUCCAUACGUGCUCCUUUCAGAGUGCAGAUAAGGAAGUGAAUCAAAUAGCAGAAAAUAUAGCGUAAUGUGCUGUUAACUUAUUACAUGAAGUGUCACGGAGUGAGAAUUUUCCACAGUGGCUUGUAAAUAGGCAGUAGAUUGGCUCUCUACUGUUUUGACAAUCUUGACAUUUGUUCAGGAUACUGAUGUAAAGCUCUUUUGAUUAAUGAAAUGUUAUCGUUUUAAAAAAAAAAAAAAAAUUCCACGAAUCGACCGCCGGCAAAGCGGUCCGUUUUUAACGUAACUAAAAGUUUUCUGUAUUUCUCCUAUGCAAUGCAUGUUCAGCCCAUCUCUUCUUCUCAAACCCUUUCCCUUAUCAUCGGGCCAGUUCCUCUUUACUUCUUCUCUCAUUGUUUCCCCCAACAAAAUAAUAAAUAAAUAAAUAAAUAAAUAAAUAAAUAAAUAAAAAUAUAUAUAUAUAUAUAUAUAUCCACGAGAAACCUUUUGAAGCAGUGAUGUAUGACAGCAACUUAAACAGUGAACUUAAUUUGCUGGGAAGAUGAAUUACACCUUAACUGAUAAGACGCUUCAUCUAUGAUAGUAAUAGUUUUUUAUGCUUCACCUGUAAUUGAUAAUUCCCUACUUCGAGUCAUUAGAAGAUAGACAAAGUUUUAUUAUAGAUGAUCAUUUUUCAAAUAAAGAAAAAUAAAUAAAAACUUUCAAUUUGUUGGGAAAUAUCUAAUCACCAUAUGCCUUUCUUGGAAAUUUCGGCGAGUCAUGCCUUUCUAAUCACGGUAUGUAACAACCAAACAAACUUCUACUUUCUAGUAUAGCUUGUAAACUUAAUUGUUUAGUGCUGCCAAGAUGUUCCUCCAAAAAAUAUGAAGACAAAUGACAUCCUAGAUUGUUUGAAUAUAGGCAACAAUUACCAAAAUAACCUAGUCCAGCAAAAAUUACCAUGCAUACAACUUUGCUAUAAUUAGUCCGAGGUAAUUUGUCUAACUUUUUUCAUUGUAUAAAUAAAUUACAGUUGACAUUACUAAUUUACUUAUAGAUACCUUGUAAUCUUACAAUCCUCCCAGUGGUUUCGUUCAUUCGCAGGAUUCAUACAUAUAAAGAACCUCACUCUCUGCCCGCUGGCUCGAUAUCUUCAGCUGAAACAUUUAAGUCAAAAGGUUUAUGCUUUGUACACAACUUGCAAUCUUUGGUGGCAAAUGUGUUCUCAAUUUCAGUCGUCAUUUCUAUCUCAUUAAAUGACAACUCUUUUUCUGCAUAAUCAUCUUUACCUUCUGCUGCCCGAUUUCCUUGAAUUCUAUGGGGUACUUGACACAAACUUACUUAGCUAGUUAAGGGAUGAAUAGUUGGCUGAUCACUGCUACUGGCUGGUUCAUAUAGCUGAUGUUUUGAACCUUUUGCUUCUUAAGCACGGGAGUUCUGUUCAAUUCUUGUCUUUGAGGACCAGCCCUGAAGUACAUUUAGGUCUGUAUCCUGCAAUUUCUUCCGUAAAUUGUUUUACUGCAACAUAGAGGAUCAAAUUCUGGUAGGUUUUCUGAAGUAUAAUCCAAUGCACAUUAUGCACGUAAUCUGUAACAACUUGAAGGGCAUUUUAGAAAGGUUUAGAGAUUUAAUGCAUGUUAACUCAAUGACUGUCAUUAUCCUUUUCUGUAUUAUGUAUCAUGGAUUCAAAACCUACGACUUUAGCAUGAAAUCAAGAAAAAGAAUCGCAGCUUUGGAUUAUGCAAUUGAUCUCAGGCCAGUCAAAUUGAGAAUCCAGCAUAAAUAAUUUUAUCCUUCCACCUUCUGUUCUUGGCUUAUUAUUACAAAUCAGGUACAUGAUCUUCUAGCACUUGAGAUUUCGCACGUUUAACCUUGUUAAUCAGGAUUUCAAGUAUUUUGAGCAGAUAUUACACAUGAAACACUGAUAUGUGUAAUCCAGUGACAUUAAAUAUGCUAUAUACCUCAUUUCUUUUGUUGAAUUGGCCCUUCUCUUCAAUCAGUAAGCUCUUUCCUUUCCUUGUUAAAGGUAUAUACCUUGAUGUUGCAAGUAAAUCUGCUAGCUUAUUGUUGAUGGAAAGUUUAAAUUCCAUAAAUAUGAAAACUGUUUGCCUUACUGAUCAAUUGUCUGGCAUCCAAUAGCUCUUCUAUGCGUAUUCUCUUCCUUUACUUCAAGUAUCAUAACUUGAAGUGGUGCAUAGUCCAAGAAAAGCGUAUUAUCAGUUAAUAACAACAAUGCAGCAACAAUAAUUACAAUGAUGAUGAAGAAAUGAAGCUGAGUAUAGAAAAGGAAUGGUUCUCUCUUCUCUGUUUCAUACAUGCCAGUGGAGAUCGACAAGUCAUUAAAGUAAUCUUGACAUUUCUGAUUCAGUAUGAUUUAAAGAUAAGUGAAGAUAUUGCAGAAAAUCUUCCUACCAUUGCUCUUUGCUCUUGCAUGGAACUCUUUUCUUAUCCGGUAUUUCUGGAAUGAAGACAGCAUUAACAUCCGGCAAGGGUGAGAUUAUAAACAAAUUGUUUUUGUGUAUUUAGGCAUAGGGUUGGAAGUUUACCUGCAGAUGGCUUUUUAUAUGUUCUGAUGUUAUUCCCUUGAUGCCCAUUAUCUUUUGUAUCUCUCUUGGAGUUGCUUCUGCUCAUGCAUGCCACAGUUUCCAUUAGAUUGAAUAGUUCUAAGUACAAAGGGCUUUUUUGGUGUGAUUCUGUUUAGAGUGCACAAGUUCUAAACAGUGUUUAGCAAUUAUUUCUUGGAUAUACUAAAGGCUGAGAUCUUUGUUAAGAAAAAGGAUACGUACGCUCAACCUCUGUGAAAUGUGAUUCUGUAAUAUUAUUCUUUCAAAGGUUGUAUUCGAGAAGCAGCAGCAAGCUGGCCUAGAAAAUUUUCUGUUAUGUGAUUUUGUACUUACCAUAUAUGUUCCUCCAAGUUGAUAAACUGCCUUCAGGAAUCGAUCAUGGAGCUCUGCUGACCAUUUUAAUCUAGGCUUUUUGUCUUUUUGGAGAUUCUGCCCAUUUUCCUUGGCUUUUGCCUCCAUUCCGAGCGCUUCUCGGUUUUUUGCAGUCACAAGUGGAACAACUGAAAUUGGGAUCUUCUUCCCAUAUUCAUGGUAAAAAGCUUAAUAUCGAAACAUUCACUCACAGGUUUGACUUACAAAGAAUCUCUCUUAAAUUGAUGAGCUUUUGUCAUUCACGUACCAAUAUUGGUUAGGGCAUGAAUUGAUCAACACCAAAAUUUCUCUUUUCGCUUCUUAAUUUACUACCCCUCUCAUAACGAAAAGUAAAGGAAGCUUUUUCUGCACUCAAUUCUUCCGUUUUUGGUUUAGUUGUAUUUUCCUUGUAAUCCUCCAUUUUUAUAUAACAUUUCUAUAAAGCUUUCCACCAGCGUCCAAUGUUCACCAAGAAUAAACUUUCUUGCUUUCCUUUACAAUUAUUCCUGCCUUUUUUUAUUUAACUUUUUUGGUACACAUCUCCUUUAGGUUGAUGAAUCUAAACCAUAGCUGUUUCUCGAUGGACAAAAAGUAUGAGUAUUACUCAAAAGUUUGGCCUAUAUUUGGCACUAGAAAAUGUUAGAUCUGAUCCUAAAAAAUUGACAAAAGAAAUUUUGGAAAUCUCAAAAAAGACAAAUAACAAAGCAAAAGCAAAUAAAACAGAAACACAAGAAUUUACGUGGUUCGAUUGACAAAAGAAUUUUUAAAUCCCAAAAAAGACAAAUAACAAAACAAAAUUAGUAAAAUAGGAACACAGAAAUUUACGUAACAAACUAAAAAUAAGAAAAAUAGGAACACAGAAAUUUAUAUAAUUCAGUCAAAUUGACCUACAUCCACCGGGGGGAGGAGGAGCAAAAUUUCACUAUGAAAAAGAGAGUACAAAAUGCCUUAGAAAAGUAUUUUUAGAUCCAAAAUAUGUAAUACUUGAAAUACAAGAGAGUCCAAAAAUAUUUUAUUAAACAAAAGGUUUAAUGACCCAAAAACUCAAAUAACCUGCUAAAUCUCUCUUGAUUUGGUAUCCUUGAUUCUAUCACAAGCCCACUAUAUUUAUAGACAAUUAAGGAAAAAACUCCCUUAUACAAAAGGCGAUGUGGGACAAGUCACUUUAACAAAUUUUCACCUUGGUGUAUCCCAAAUAUCAACAAUAACAAAUCUGAUUUACCUUCUCCACAUAUACCUUAAUGGGUCUAAAUCACCAACAACAAAUAUCAAUCAAGUCCUAGCAUUGCUUGAACUUGUAAACUAAAAGAGGUUUUGUGAACAUGUCAGUAGGAUUUUCCUUGGUACUGAUUUUUUGAACAAUGACUUUUCCUCAUCAAUAAUAUCUCAAAUGGAAAUUUUACAUCAAUGUGUUUUGUCCUCUCAUGAUACAUCUGAUCUUUAGUCAAAUGAAUGGCACUUUUACUAUCACAGUAAAUAGUAGUAACACCUUGAUGCAGAAUGAGCUUGCCAAACAAACUCUUCAACCACAAGACUUCUUUGAUUGCCUCGAUCACAGCCAUAUAUUCAGUCUACGUACUAGAUAAAGUUGUAAUAGGUUGUAAAGUAACUUUUCAACUAAUUGCAUAACCACAAAUGUAGAAUAUCUAAUCUGAAAGUAUUCUUCUCCUGUCAAGAUCUCCUGCAUAAUCAGAAUCUACAAAACCAACCACAAUGUUAUUAUUUCUCCCAAUCUCUAAACAACAAUUUGAAGUCCUUCGCAAGUAUUUGAGAAUUCACUUCAUAGCCUGUCAAUGUACUUUUUCAAGACAAGACCUAUAUCUGCUAAUCACACUAACUGCUUAUACGAUAUUUGGACGAGUACAAACCAUUGCAUACAUAAUACUACCGACUGCAUUGGAAUAGGAAACUUGUACCAUAAACUCUUCUUCUUCAAUUGAUUGUAGUGACUGAGCAGCAGACAGUCGAAAAUAACUAAUAAAAAGAGUAGUCACAGGUUUAGCAUUUUUCAUGCCAAAUUUCUCCAAAACUUUCUCAAGAUAAUUUUUUUUGGUCUAGAAUAACUUUUCAACUCCUCGAUCUAUCUUGAUUUCCAUGUCAAGAAUUUUUUUUAAUUGCUUCCAAAUGCUUCAUUUUAAAUUUACUACUUAACUGCAAUUUUAAAAUGUGAAUUUCUGACAAAUUCUUAGCAGCAAUGAGUAUGUGAUCAACAUAAAAUAGCAAAUAAAUGAAAGAACCAUCUUCUAACUUUCGAAAGUAAACACAACUAUCAUACAUAUUUCAUAAAUAAUCAUGACCCAACAUAAAGGUAUUAAAUCUCUUAUACUACUAUUUUGGAAAUUGUUUCAAUCCAUAUAAGAAUUUUUUCAAUAAAUAACUAUGGUAUUCCUUUCCUUUAAUUUCAAAUCCUUAAGGUUGUUUCAUAUAAAUUUUCUCUUCAAUUCAUCAUGCAAAAAAUCUAUCUUAAUAUCAAGUUGCUCAAAUUCCAAAUCGUACAUGGCAACUAAAACAAACAAAAACAUGAAUAGAGUUAUGCUUAACAACAGAUGAAAAUACUUCAUUAAAAUCAAUGCGUUGUACCUGACUAUAGUCCUUUGCAACCAACUGUGCUUUAUACCUUACAUCUUCAAUUUCUGGAAUACCUUUUUUCUUCUUGAAGACCCAUUUGUAUUCAACAAUUUUCUUAUCAGAAUGCGACUUUACAAGAAUCCAAGUUUCAUUUUGAUGGAGGGAUUUAAUUUCUUCAUUCAUCGCAAUCAAUCAUUUAGUAGCAUCAUCACAAGAAACUGUCUCUAAUUAGGUAGUGGGCUCACCAACUCUAUCAGUUACAUCGCAAUCAAUCAUUUAGUAGCAUUAUCACAAGAAACUGUCUUUGAUUAGGUAGUGGGCUCACCAACUCCAUCAGUUUCUUCUGCAACAGACAAAGUAUAUGCAACCAAAUUUACAUAUUUUUGUAGUGGUUGAAUAUCCUUUCUUGGUCUAUCUUUGGCAACGAAAUAUUCUUACUCUUCUGAAUUAUUUUCAUCAGUAGAUUUAGAUGCAUCUACUGGCACUUAUUGAAUAGAAGGACUAAAACUAUCAAUCUCAAACUCCAUCUACUUCUAUAUACUAUCAUCUGUAUAACAAGAAUUAGAAAAUUUCUUCUUGAAAGAUAAUAUAGAAAAUUCAUUAAAAGUGACAUCUUUACUGUUUAUAAAUUUUAAAAAUUUGGAAUUAGGACAUCAUAAUCUGUACUCUUUCACCCUAAAAGUAUAUCCAAGAAAAAUAACUUUCUUAGUUUGGGGUUCUAAUUUUUCAUCAUUUACAUGCAUGUAUACUAAACCUCCAAAAUUUUUAAAUUAGAAUAAUCACCUGGAGUACCUGACCAAAAUUUCUCAGGAGUUUUGAAAUCAAGAACUGUAGAAGAAGUACGGUUGACAAUAGAAUAAGCCAUAGAGAUCGUCUCUGCCCAAAAGUUCUUUGUCAAUCCUGCAUUAGAGAUCAUACACCUUGCUCUUUCUAAAAAGUAUUCUGUUCAUACGUUCGGUUAUGCUAUUUUGUUGAGACGUCGUCCUGACAGUGCGAUGUCGAACAAUUCUUUCAUUCUUACAAAUUCAUCAAAUUUUUUUCACAAAAUUUCAUAUCUUAUCUGUUCUAAGCCGUUUGAUCUUUCUACUUAUCUGUUUCUCAGUCAAAACUUUCCAUUACAUGAAAAUGAUGUAAACAUUAUUCUUGUAUUUAAGAAAAUAAAUUCAAACUUUUCUUGAAUAAUCAUCAAUGAAAGUUAACAUAUACCUAACACCACCCUUAGACAGAACACGAGAUGGAUUCCAUAAAUCUGAAUGAAUAUAAUUAAGAGUACCUUUCGUCUUAUGAAUUUCUGGUGAAGUAAAGCUAACUCUUUUCUACUUCCUAAAAAUACAGUGUUCACAGAAUUUCAAUGACCCAGUAUUUUGAUAGCAAAGAAGUCUUCUUUUGCUUAGUAUGCCCAAAAUCUUUCUCGCUCAUAUGUCCCAAAUGCAUAUACUAUAAUUUGGUGAUGUCAGAAUCAGAUAAAGAUGAUAAUGACGAAACUGCAACUGAACCUGUGACAGUAAAUCCCUGCAAAGCAUAUAAACUAUCAAACCUAUAAGCUUUCAUUACAACAAGAGUAUCUUUAGAAACCUUCAUAACACUCUUUUCAGCUGUGUAUUUGCAUCAAAGAGCCUUUAGAAUGCCCAAAAAGAUGAAUUUUUUUUUCAAAUCAGGAACAUGUCUAACAUUAGUGAGCGUCCUCAUAAUACCAUCAUGCAUUUUAAUUUAAACUGUACCCUUAUCAAUAACAUUACAAAUGACAUUAUUACGUAUCAAAACAAUUCUACCAUUACAAGAUUCAUAAGUGAAAAAUAAAUUAUUAUUGGGACACAUGUGAUAAGAGGACAUUGAAUCUAAAAUCCAUUCAUUUUUAGACCUUUUUCUGUCAUCAAUCACAAAGAAAAUAUUUCUUUCAUUCUUAUCAGUUGUAACACGAGUUUCGACAGUUUCAAUAUUUUUCUCACCAGAUUUUCCGUUUUGCUUUAAUCUUUUCAAUUUAAAGCAAUUUACUUUAAUGUACCAUAUUUUGUGAUAAUAAUUACACUUCAAAUUUCUCUGUUUGGAUUUAGAUAUAGAUUUUGAUCUACUAUUAUCAAAUUUUCUUUUAUCGAUUUUAUCCCUUGCAAUCAGACCUUUCCCUUGACUUCCAUUAAUUUCUCCGAUAAUAUUUCUAUCUAUCUACUGCUUAGAUUUUAAUGCAGAUUUAAUUUCUCGAUACGAAAUUCUUUCUUUUCCAUAAUCAUGGUAUCGCGAAAAUAUUUAAAGGAGCGGGGAAGGGAAUACAAAAGUAACAGGGCCUGAUUCUCAUCAAAUAUAUAUUCUCCUAAUUUUCAAAUAUAUACUCUCCAAAUUCAUAAUAAUGAAAUCAAAUUUAUCAAGAUGUGAGAAUAUAGAUGUACUUUCAGUCAUAUGAAACAUAUACAGAUUUUAUUUUAAAUAAAAUCGAUUCUCAACUAUUUUCUUCAUGAACAAGGCUUUAACUUUGUCUCACAUGAUAUUUGUCGAAAUCUCAGUAACCACCUCCUACAAAAUCUCGUCAGAGAGAUUUAAAAUAAUAUUGAAUUUCACCUUCUUAUCCAUCUUAGCAAAAUUUUCAUCUAUCACACUCUCUAACUUUUUCAAUUUCCUGUAUCACUAGAUCAACUCCGUCUUGAAUUAAAAUAACCUCCAUCUUGAGCUGCCAUGCAACAGUCCCACCUCCAUCUAGGAUGUACCCUAAAAGUUAGAGGAUCGUCUGCCUGAUUCUCUCCAGAACUCAUUAAUUUCAUAGUAACUUCAGAGAUAACAUUGUGGUAUACUAAAACCACACGUUCAAAUCUUUUACAAUGCCAAGUUUAAUACAAAACUUCAACCGUGAUAAGAUACUAGAUAAUUUACAAUCACAAAAGACUUCAUGUUAACUCCCUAAACUCUCUCAUUCAUUUCUCGACUACCAACUUCUGUAAGGAAAACAAACUACAAGGUUGAGCUAAAAUUCAGUGAGAUUUGCCGAACAAGUAACAUUUAAUAAACACUUAAAUUAGUACAAUUAAGUAAGUAGUGCACAUUUCACUGUAUAAUCACUUUAAAAAGGAUACAAACUCCUCCUGGGAGUCAUUUCAAUAUCACUGUACAUUCAUUUCAGUGUCGCGAUACAUUCAUUUCAAUAUCAUUGCACACUCUGCCAAUUCACCCCGUUAUGUCCUCCAAAAUAAUAAACAAUCCCCUACAUUCAAUAAUCAGUGCAAUAAUCUCUCAACUUCAGGGUAAUGCUCGAGUAUACCGAAACAGUUACCCAAAUCUUCCGUCCUAUCCGACCAAGCCCUUUGCUGGCUCGAAAAGUCCGUUGAACAAAGGGUUUUGGGGUCCAAUUCAACUGAUGUGGUAAAGUACACAUACGGCUUACAUUCAUGAACACUUACAGUAAUAUUUGGUUAAUUAUCAACCUUCAAACUCAACUAAGUCGAGUGCGAUAAAGUACACCCUCGACUUAGAAGGUGAGAGACAAUUGAGAUACACUUUACAAUGAAUCACUAGCAAUAUUCCAUAAUAAGCACAUUUAUCGCAUAAUUUCACUUAAAUAAACAUAAACAGUUAAACACACAACUUCGGAAACACUCACCAAAUACCCAAAUAGAUUACUCUCGAGUCUCGGGUUUGUUUCCUGACUCACAGCUCCUUCCUGAGACAAGUUCAUAAUUUCAAAGUAAAUAUAUAAUUUGUAGAUAUUCAUCUAUUGUUUAUUAUCCUAUUAUUUAAAUUAUUAGAAUCAAGUUUGACUUUAAAAUAUAAAAUAUAAUAUAUUCAAUAUUUAUUAUACAUUUCAUUUCGAGACUUAUUGAUUUUAUCAUUUUAAAUCAAGAAAUAUACGUAUUUUUCAAGUUUAUAAUUUAUAAAAUAUUUAAAUUAGGAUUAAACUAUUUUCCACCCAAGAUUCUAAAAUUAAAGCUUAGGAAUACUCCAUUGGUUCCCUUUUAAAUUAACUAAACUCUAGGUUGUUUGUAAAUUAAAUUUUGUUUCACGAUACCAGCCCCUCUUAGGUUCUAAGGUCUUUAAAAUGUUCUUUAAAACAAGAUUAAAUGAUUAGCAACCGUCUUAUGUAUCUAAUUGUAAUAAGUUGCCUUAAGGUUUCCAAAAUAUUAUAGGAGUUCACUUCAUUACUAUGUUAGCUGUUAAAUCAAGUUCUAGCAAUAUAGUUCAUAAUUUUCAUCAAUAUUUCAUCUCCUACUUGGUAAAAUAUUAAUCACUCAGUAUUUAUCCCGUCCCAGCUGAAGUUGAAUCAAAUAACGUGUAGUAUUUACGCAUAAACCCAACAAAACAACAAUAAGUUCCAUUUUUAGAUAAUGUAACUUCCUAGCAAUAUACACAGUCCAGCAUUCAUUGUUUCCCUUAAAUCCUUCAUUUCAAUCUCAUGUCCCAACUAGACAAGUUAAUUACAUUUAUUAAGUUACAAAGUAGCCUUAUACAGAACGUGGAAAGUUUUGCAGCUAACUUAGAGGAAAAGACUGAUCAACUCUUCCUUCUUUCUCUCGGCCAUAAGGUAAUUCAGCAGCACAUUUCAUAGUUUUCCUCUCAUUUGCCUUAGUUUAACUCUACUCACGGAACUAGUCAUAGUCACUGAAUCACAGAGCAACCUUAGUUCUACCUGUGGAAGUUCACAGAGCCAGAAAUUAGAAGAAAGGCUGCUCUAAAAGCUUAUUUCCUUCCCCUUUUUUUUUAUCAUAGCAGAUUGUACCAGCUUCUUUUUAUCAAGUUUUAGUUAAGCUUCCUGAAGUUUUUAGAUUUCCAAGGCACCUAUCUUUUAAGGUAAAGAAUUAACAUGUCUUCCAUGUAUUCAUUAGUAAGGGUUUCAGAAUCAAUAACAACAGGUAAUGUAACUUGCUUAAUUCCCUCAGACAACUAACCUGCAAUCAGUCGAAUGCACUUGUCCUACUAUGUUCACUUUAGUUUCUACUUGUUUUGGUCUUGCUUGUUGAAGUUUACGGUCUGCAUGACAUUUUACACUUACUACACAGGUUUAGGAGCUAAAGUUUAUAGAGGACAACCAAAGUGUCCUUCUUUUCUCUUUCGGUUGCAGUCACUAAAUUUCCAGCAAAAUCGUAGUCUAUCAGUUGACAUUUUCUUACCUUUUCCUCCUCAGUUUUUGGUCUCAAUCACUCAUGCAGAAGAUACUUAAUUUGCUGCAGGUUAUCCUAAGCUAAACAGGGCAGUUCCUGACCAGAAUUCAGAGAAAAAUUGAAUAAAAUUACAAGGCUGCGCAAAACUGCUAAAUCUGGUGCAUAGCAGCUUGCACCAUAUUACUUUCAUGCCCAUAGUUUCAAUUCUUACAAGCUCCUACGGCUAAUCCUUUUUUUAUUACUUAAAGUGGACGUAAUUCAUGCAUUCCUAGCUGUAGUUUCCAUUUUUUUUUUCUGAUAACUAGUCACACAAUUAGUACCUAUUUCACGGUUAGAAGUCAGAACUUCCUCUCAGCAGACUAUCAUUUCUAAACAAAAUUUCUCCUGCAACAAAACUUAGUUUUUUUUGGUUAGAUUCCAGCACACACAACAUUCAAAUUCAAAUAUACCAGAUGAUUAAAAAGUUAUAUACAAAUUUUUCAUCAUUGAUGAACUAAAAUCCAAACAUCAAUUUUCAGUUUCUUCCAAAUCUGUCCAACAGUUUUAUCUUCUUCAAACAGAAUUUCACCUUAGCUAAGAGUCCAUUUCUUUACUAAAUUCUCGUGCAGCUAGCAUAUUAAUCUAUUUAUACGGAAUGGACAGAAGAUUAUUGCAAGUUCUUACCUUUUCUCCUAAAGUUUGAUAUCGCAGUCUGUUCAAAAUUUCUGGUCCUGAUUCCUUAAGUCUUAACUCUAAUUCCUCCUGCUUCCUUGCGACACCUUCCUUAUCUUUGGUUGUUUGGUGAUGAAGCUAGCUAUGCUCCUGCUCUUACUUUCUCUGUUUCGCUCUCUUUUCCCACUCCCUCUAUUUUCUCUCGAUGUUAGCUUGGUAAGGAGAGGAGCUGAAAUUUUGUUUUACUCUCUGCCACCGUCCAAGUUUUUGCAGUUGGUUUUCUCUUUUUCCCCACUGGGUCACCGUUUGGAUUCGGCAAGCUCUUGGCAGCUGUUUCUCUUCAAUUUUGUCUUUGUUUAAAAGGCUUAAAGAUCAGAUGAAACAAAUAUUAUUCGGUGGUAAAAUUUUUCAUUCAGUGCUCACCCUUCAAAGCUGCUAUAUUCGGUGACUCACUCUCCAAAGCCUUCAUCCACUCGGUUUCAUGUUUGAAAAUUCUGAUGAUUUGCUUGGCUGCAUGGUUGUUUAUCCUAAAUUCAAGGUUAAUUUGGUCUUUCAAUUCUAGCUCAUUUGCUUGCUAAUGGUCCGUAAUAUCUUUUUCCUAAAAUUUCAAUUUUAUAGGAAUCCAAUCAUACAUUUAAUUUAACCAUUUAUUUAUUAUAUAUAAUGUUUCUAAUAACAAAUUAAAUGUAAUGGGAUAAAUUCGAAGUGUACACAUAAAUUUCCGAGUUCUCACAUCUUUUCCCCCUUAAGAAAAUUUCGUCCUCGAAAUUUCGUACUUUUAAUCGUAAAAAGUUUCGAGUAUUCUUUCUGUAUUUUAUCUUCCAUUUCCUCAGGUUGCUUCCUCCAAUCCUUGUUGUUUCCAUAGAACUCUGACUAAAGGAAUCUAUUUAUUCUUUAAUUCCUGUCUCUAAAAUAACAUGCCCCAGAAAUGAUAUUUUCUCCAUUCAAAAUUCAUACUUACUAAAUUUUAUACAAUUGACGCUUCCUUAAAGUCGAUAACACUAUCCUUAGAUUCUAUUCAUGAUCUUCCUUCUUAAUUCUUCAUUGAUAGUAUCCUUGCCAAAGAUCUAUCUUAGAAAAUAUUAUUGCCCCUUGCAACAAUUAUAACAUCAUUAUAAGCUCAACUUGCAAUCUCUAUCUUUUUUUUUCUCCAAUCUUAAUCUCAUAGUUUCUAUACACCAUUUGGUUAUCAAACUUUGAUCACUAGUGGGGUUUUAACUUCUAAUUCAUAAGGUAGUUUGUUAAACUUCAUACCAAUUCUAUUUAUAAAAUCAACAAUUACAAAUGAAUGCAUCGCACCAGGGUUAAUCAAAAUCUUAGCUAAGCGAUUGAAGACAGGGAUGGUACAUUCUACCACCUCAGUUGUCUCUGGCACUUGCUAUUGGUCUAAAGCAUAUACUCUAGCUGGCACUCUUUAUCGAUUUCUUCUAUCGUUAGUCUGUCGAGGUGCAGGUGGUAGGGUGUUAAUACUUCGUGGUAUCCUAGUUGGGCAACUACCAAUUAGGUGUUCUGAACUUCCGCAAAAUAAGCAUUUUCAUCCCUUCACCCAACAAUUUUCCUCAGAAUGAUUCUCUUUUCCACAGUAUCCACAUGCUGUUUGGGAGCUCGGCACUUGCACUCCUCUAAAAUGCCUUUCUUGUUGUCCUUUUUUGGCUUGAGCUUCGCUGACUGAGGUUCUAGGUGAUUGGUUUUGAACUCCGAGCGAAAAUCUUACUCCGCCAAUUCCUCUUCCUGCUUUGGGCUCCAUGACAUCUCCUCGCGGUUGCCCUGAAGUAACGCCAGGGGCAUUUCUUUUCCUAGUUUGGAAAGUCUUUAGUUGGGAUUUCGCAUUCUCAAUUCUCUGGGCCUUGUCAAGAGCCCCAAGGAAGGUAUCCAGGGUAACUGGCGCCAGGGAUUCCUGAAUCUCCAUAUUUAAUCCUUGAACAAAACGCCUCACUCUCUUUUGUUCGAUGGGUUCUAAUUCGGGAAAAAAUUUAGACAAUUUUGUGAACUGGAUUUCGUAGUCAGCAGCACUGGAGGUCCCUUGCCGAAAUCUAAUGAAUUCAUUCUCCCUUUUCUCUCGAACCAAAGGAGGAAUAUAUUUUUCUUUAAACUCGUAGACAAAGUUAGUCCAAGUCCAUGGGAUUUGCUCUCUUUCCCAUUUAGUUUAUCUAUGUUCCAUCAUGAACGUGCCGCCCCCUCAAAUUGGAAUACGGAAAAGGUAACCUGUCUAUCCUCAGGGUAACCAAUUCUCUACUAUUUCAGGGUUUGGUCCUCCAGUAAACUUAGGUGAAGUAAACUUUUGGAACCUUUCUAAUGCCUUAUCUUCCCCACUUCAGAGUCCUUAUGUUGAUGUGUAUGUCCGACUCCGGAACCGGAUUGAUUAACUACUCUUUCUAAUAAAUCGAUCAUCCUAUUUAGGGCCAUAGUCACUUGAUCGUUUCUAUUGACUUCUUAUUCUUGGCUCUGAUCCGCCGCGGAGUCGCAUUCUCCAUCUAGGUUUUCAGAUUGUCUAACCCUACGAGGUCGCCCACGUCGUCGUCCCUCACUCUCCAUUCUCCACCUAAGUAUGCUAUGUAUUUAGAAAUCAUGAAUAAAUUGGACUUAUCCCUAUACUUACAUAAAUAUUUAGUAGUAUUUAAUUUUAGAAAUCAAAAUGCAUUCAGCACAUAAAUUCACACUUAGUUUAUAGGCCAACCAUUAUAAAACAACAAUUAAAGUCAAGUACAAUACAAGUAAUUCAAAUAUACAUAAAAGUAAACAGUUUAACAGUAUAGUGCAUGUAGCAUAUCAAACAUGGAUAGCUCAACCCUUAGUUUUUAAGUUAACUAGAACUCCAUUAGUCUAAUUUAAGACAGUCCCAGUCGAUCCCUAAUUUACCUGAACACUCGGGUAAGGCAUCCUUUUACUUCCUGCAGUUGCUGCCUCUUCACCUCUAACUCUCAAAAGUUAUCCUCGAUCUCUCCGAUUCUACUUCUCCAAUUUUAUUCAUGAUUUCUAUUCAGAUCAUAAUGCAAUACAUUAAAUCCUGCCAAAUUUGCAAAUACACCAACGAAUAAAAUAUUUAAUACUCGGAUACAAGAAUCCAAAAAUAUGAUAUUUCAUAACUCAAGUCGGCCGGUCUCAAGAGUAAAUCAUCCACAUUUGAGAUUUUUACCCGACGUACAUAUCUAAUUUUUCCUCAAUAAUGAUAGUUCAUGUCACACUUAACAUGCCACUCCCCACAAUCCAAGAACCCUCUCCUGGUGUGAGCUCAUUAAGAGUUCUGAUACCACAUGUGACGGUCCCACCUCCUUUUAGGGUGUACCCUAAAAGUUAGCAGAUCGUCUGCUUGACUCUUGCCAUGACUCAUUAAUUUCGCAUUAACUUCAAAGAUAACAUUGUGGUAUACUAAAACCACACGUUCAAAUCUUUUACAAUGCCAAGUUUAAUACAAAACUUCAACCGUGAUAGGAUACUAGAUAAUUUACAAUCACAAAAGACUUCAUGUUAACUCCCUAAACUCUCUCAUUCGUUUCUCGACUACCAACUUCUGUAAAAAAAAUAAACUACAAGGUUGAGCUAAAACUCAGUGAGAUUUGCCGAACAAGUAACAUUCAAUAAACACUUAAAUCAGUACAAUUAAGUAAGUAGUGCAUAUUUCACUGUAUAAUCACUUUAAAAAGGAUACAAACUCCUCCUGGGAGUCAUUUCAAUAUCACUGUACAUUCAUUUCAGUGUCGCGAUACAUUUAUUUCAAUAUCAUUGCACACUUCGCCAAUUCACCCCCUUAUGUCCUCCAAAACAAUAAACAAUCUCCCAUAUACAAUAAUCAGUGCAAUAAUCUCUCAACUUCAGGGUAAUACUCGAGUAUACCGAAACAGUUACCCAAAUCGUCCGUCCUAUCCGACCAAACCCUUUGCUGGCUCGAAUAGUCCGUUGAACAGAGAGUUUUGGGGUCCAGUUCAGUCGAUGUGGUAAAGUACACAUACAGCUUACAUUCAUGCACACUUACAGUAAUAUUUGGUCAAUUAUCAACCUUCAAACUCAAAUAAGCCGAGGGCCUAAAAAUUACACCCCCGACUUAGAAGGCGAGAGAUAAUUGGGAUACACUUUACAAUGAAUCACUAGCAAUAUUUCAUAAUAAGCACAUUUAUCGCAUAAUUUCACUUACAUAUAUAUAAGCAGUUAAAUACACAAAUUCGAAACACUCACAAAAUACCCAAAUAGAUUACUCUCGAGUCUCGAAUUUGUUUCCUGACUCACAGCUACUUCCUGAGAAAAGUUCAUAAUUCCAAAGUAAAUAUAUAAUUUAUAGAUGUUCACCUAUUAUUUAUUAUCCUAUUAUUUAAAUUAUUAGAAUCAAGUUUGUCUUUAAAAUAUAAAAUAUAAUUUAUUCAAUAUUUAUUCUACAUUUCAUUUUGAGACUUAUUGACUUUAUCAUUUUAAACCAAGAAAUAUACGUAUUUUCCAAGUUUAUAAUUUAUAAAAUAUUUAAAUUAGGAUUAAACUAUUUUCUACUCACGAUUCUAAGAUUAAAGUUUAGGAAUACUCCAUUGGUUCCCUUUUAAAUUAAUUAAACUCUAGGUUGUUUGUAAAUUAAAUUUUGUUUCACGAUACCAGCCACCCUUAGGUUCUAGGGUCUUUAAAAUGUUCUUGAAAACAAGAUUAAGUGAUUAGCAACCGUCUUAUGUAUCUAAUUGUAAUAAGUUGCCUUAAGGUUUCCAAAUAUUACAGGAGUUCACUUCAUUACUAUAUUAGCUGUUAAAUCAAGUUCUAGCAAUAUACUUCAUAAUUUUCAUCAAUAUUUCAUCUUCUACUUGGUAAAAUAUUAAUCACUCAGUAUUUACCCUGUCCCUGCUGAAGUUGAAUCAAAUAACGUGUACUAUUUACGCAUAAACCCAACAAAACAACAUUAAGUUCCAUUUUUAGAUAAAUGUAACUUCCUAGCAAUAUACAUAGUCCAGCAUUCAUUGUUUCCCUUAAAUCCUUCCUUUUAAUCUCAUGUCCCAACUAGACAAGUUAAUUACAUUUAUUAAGCUACAAAGUAGCCUUAUACAGAACGUGGAAAGUUUUGCAGCUAACUUAGAGGAAAAGACUGAUCAACUCUUCCUUCUUUCUCUCGGCCAUAAGGUAAUUCAGCAGCACAUUUCAUAGUUUUCCUCUCAUUUGCCUUAGUUUAACUCUACUCACAGAACUAGUCAUAGUCACUAAAUCACAGAGCAACCUUAGUUCUACCUGUGGAAGUUCACAGAGCCAGAAAUUAAAAGAAAGGCUGCUCUAAAAGCUUAUUUCCUUCCCCCUUUUUUUUUAUCAUAGCAGAUUGUACCAGCUUCCUUUUAUCAAAUUUUAGUUAAGCUUCCUGAAGUUUUCAUAUUUCCAAGGCACCUAUCUUUUAAGGUAAAGGAUUAACAUGUCUUCCAUGUAUUCAUUAAUAAGGAUUUCAGAAUCAGUAACAACAGGUCAUGUAACCUGCUUAAUUCCCUCAGACAACCAACCUGCAAUCAGUCGAAUGCACUUGUCCUACUAUGUUCACUUUAGUUUCUACUUGUUUUGGUCUUGCUUGUUGAAGUUUACGGUCUGCAUGACAUUUUACAUUUACUACACAGGUUUAAGAGCUAAAGUUUAUAGAGGACAACCAAAGUGUCCUUCUUUUCUCUUUCGGUUGCAGUCACUAAAUUUCCAGCAAAAUCGUAGUCUAUCAGUUGACAUUUUCUUACCUUUUCCUCCUCAAUUUUUGGUCUCAAUCACUCAUGCAGAAGAUACUUAAUUUGCUGCAGGUUAUCCUAAGCUAGACAGGGCAGUUCCUGACCAGAAUUCAGAGAAAAAUUGAAUAAAAUUACAAGGCUGCGCAAGACUGCUACAUCUGGUGCAUAGCAACCUGCACCAUAUUACUUUCAUGCCCACAGUUUCAAUUCUUUCAAGCUCUUACGGUUAAUCCUUCUUUUAUUACUUAAAGUGGACAUAAUUCAUGCAUUCCUAGCUGUAGUUUCCAUUUUUUUCUGAUAACUAGUCACACAAUUAGUACCUAUUUCACGGUUAUAAGUCAGAACUUCCUCUCAGCAAACUAUCGUUUCUAAACAAAAUUUCUCCGGCAACAAAACUUAGUUUUUCUUGGUUAGAUUCAGCAUAGACAACAUUCAAAUUCAAAUAUACCAGAUGAUUAAGAAGUUAUAUACAAAUUUUUCAUCAUUAAUGGACUAAAAUCCAAACAUCAGUUUUCAGUUUCUUCCAAAUCUGUCCAACAGUUUUAUCUCCUUCAAACAAAAUUUCACCUUAGCUAAAAGUCCAUUUCUUUACUAAAUUCUCAUGCAGCUCACAUGUUAAUCUAUUUAUACGGAAUGGACAGAAGAUUAUUGCAAGUUCUUACCUUUUCUCCUAAAGUUUGAUAUUGCAGGCUGUUGAAAUUUUUUGGUCCUGAUUCCUUAAGUCUUAACUCCAAUACCCCCUGCUUCCUUGCGACACCUUCCUUAUCUUUGGUUGUUUGGUGUUGAAGCUAGUUAUGCUCCUGCUCUCACUUUCUCUGUUUCGCUCUUUUUUCUCACUCCCUCUAUUUUUUCUCGAUGUUAGCUUGGUAAGGAGAGGAGCUGAAAUUUUGUUUUGCUCUCUGCCACCGCCCAAGUUUUUGCAGUUGGUUUUCUCUUUUUCCCCACUCGGUCACCGCUUGGAUUUGGCAAGCUAUUGGCAGAUGUUUCUCUUCAGUUUUGUCUUUAUUUAAAAAGCUUAAAGAUCAGGUGAAACAAAUACUACUCGGUGGUAAAAUUUUUCAUUCGGUGCUCACCCUUCAAAGCUGCUCUAUUUAGUGACUCACUCUCCAAAGCCGUCCUCCACUCGAUUUCAUGUUUGAGAAUUCUGAUGACUUGCUUGGCUGUAUGGUAGUUUAUUCGAAAUCCAAGGUUAAUUUGGUCUUUCAAUUCUAGCUCAUCUGCUUGCUAAUGGUCCGUAAUAUUUUUUUUCUAAAAUUUCAAUUUUGUAGGAAUUCAAUUAUACAUUUAAUUUAACCAUUUAUUUAUUAUAUAUAAUGUUUCUAAUAACAAAUUAAAUGUAAUGGGAUAAAUUCGAAGUGUACACAUGAAUUUUCGAGUUCUCACAUGCCACAUUCCGAAGUCGACUUCUUGUCGAAUUGUAUGAGUUGAUCAAUUUUAGUUUAGUCCAAGUUGUUUGAGUUCACACUGAAAAUUGUAAGAAUUAUAUCAAUCGGUUGAAACAGGAUAAAACUCAACUUAUGAGUCCAUUUCCAAUUUUCAAUUUAUAAGUUUUUUUUUCUAAAACAAAGAAUUUUAUUAAUGAGAUUGUUGGAUGUCGUCCCACAUGACUUGCUUGACAAAACUUAAUUGGAGAGGAAUUCCACAAAGAUUCUGAAAGGGUGGUAGUUAUUGCAUGAUAAGUUAAAUAAUGUGCAAUCUUAUUAGCCUCCUUUAAACUCAAAGUACAUCAACAACAUGGUAGUCUAAUAAAGUCAAGUGAAUAUUUUCAAUUAUCGGGCCAAAAGUAGAUAAAAGGUCUACCUCAUCAUUAAUGAAUUUGAUAAUUGAAGAUGCACUGCCAUCCAAAAUGAAGUUUGAAAUUCUUAGCAUCUUAGCUAGAUAAACUGCUUUUCUAACAACAAGGGGUUCAACAAGUUCAACAUUUAUAGAGCCCUCAUGACACUUUGAUAGACUAGCAAUGAACACACCAUCGUGUAAAAAGAAUCUUUGGAUCCUUUUAAGACCCAUUUCCCACUUGACCAUUUAGAAUCUUUGGAUAUUCUAAAUCUUGAAAUAUACGCACAGCAAACAAGAAAUCAUUACUUUUUUUUGUUGAAACGAUAGAUUCUAUUCUACAUCUACUCCUAUUCUGUACCAGGGGAGGGAGGGACUUAAAGAGAUCAAGGGAAACCCUUACUAGAAUUGUCUUUUUUUUCAGAACAUUUGGUCUAGCUUGUUGAAAGCAGGUUCUGUGUUCCUUUCAGACGGAAUUCCCACUUUUGUUUCUUUGGCCAUUGAUUGAAGAAUAUACUAGAUUUUUUUCUAAUUUUGAGAGACUUUGCCAAAUCUGUUGUACAUAUCUAAAUAAUAUAGAAUCUUUAUCAAAAGUUCAUAAAAGUUAUGUUCUCCCUUCAUGGGUGCCCAGAAACUGGCCGGUUGGGGUUGAAGAUACUGUAAGAAAAUAUAAACCAAGCAUUAGUAUUUUGUUUUCUUUAUUUAAUGGCAGCAUAUUGUUAGUUUUUUUUUAUCAGACAACAACAUCUAGUUUAGCAUACUCCUACUCUAGCCCACACUGAGGGGGAGGCCCAUUAAGGUCUAGAGAAAUCGAUGGAAACUGAACCACCAAAAGAUUUAGUGCAUCCGUAUGAAUUUAGAAGAAGUCACAUAUAGUGGCACAUUGAUGGACUCCUACUACUACUCUAACCUACAUUAGAAAGGGAAGAGAUCCAACAGGGCCUAGAGAAACCGAUGGAAACUGAACUAUCAUCAGACUAAACGGAUAUACUACGCAUCCGUAUAAAUUUAAAAGAAGUCACAUAUAGUGGCACAUUGAUGGGAGGUAAAAUUUGAACUCUUAAUCUCUCACCUCACCAAAACUUAAAAUUUUUGAUGAUAGACAACGGCCCUUUGAUUGGCUAAUAGAUUGGGGGCUAAAGAUGUUGUGGGAACAUAUGAGCCAAGCAUUAGUGGUUUGUUUUCUUUAUUUAGUGGCCGCGUGUUGUCAAUUGAUUUGCUAGUAGAUUUGGGUUGCAUGAUUGUUUUGUAUUCGGAACUGGUCGCGUGUUGUUAGUUGAUCUGCUAGAAAAUUUGGGUUGCAUGAUUGUUUUGCAUAUGUAAUGGCCAUGAUUGGGUUGCAUGAUUGUUUUGUAUUUGGGCCACGAGGGAUUAUUGUCAUUAAUGAUUAAUAGCAAUAAAAAUAGGAGUGGAGAGUAGAUGUGGUAAAAUGGAUACAUGAUUGGUAAAUGGUUUUACUUAAAUAAAUCAUGGAUAAAAUUCAUCCAAUCCAAUUAUAAUCAUUUAAUAAAUGGACCUAAAUGGAUAGGAUUUAAAUGGAAAAUAUAAAAUCAUGAUCCAACCAUUUAUCCAUUUAUUCUCCUAAGAAAUAAAAUUAUUCAUCCUACUCCAGCCACAGUUAGACAAUUAGAGUCCAGGCAAGUGAUCAAGUAUAGAGUAGUAGACUAAGCACUCUAGUAUUUUAUUCAUCACACAUACACACACGCACACACUCAUGAUUUCCACUUACACCCUCUCUUCUGAGUCUUGGAUCAAGUUCGGAAAUUUGAAUUCAAUUAUUCAAAUACUGGUGUGUACUAAUUAAAAGCAUUAACAGGUGAACCAAUUUAAAGUAACCUCAAAAUCUUGCUCCUAGUUAAUUCUUGAAUUGGAGUUAAAAACAAUCAAUUUGAACUCAAAAUUUAGAUCUAUAAGCUCAAUAAAUUCACUCAAAGACUUUCCUGUGGUGAUACGGUGGAAGAAGAAGCAAUUCGAAAGAUUUGAAGGGGAAUUAUUCUGUUAGCCAACAACAGAAAAUACUGAUGUUGUAGCGUGUAUUCAUUGCGUAAAAAAGGUCUCUCUCUAUGAGAGGCCGUUUCUCUUCUGUAGGUGUUCACGUUCUUCAUACCCUCCUCCGCAAAAUUCAAAUUUGGAUCCAUUUGCGUAGGCGUCAAGUAACAACCUUCCAUUAAUGGAAACUUACCAGAUUCAUUAAUGGAAGGAAACUUACUAGAUUCUUCUAUGGAAGGAAACUUACCAGAUUUUUCCAUCAGCUCUGGUUUAAGUUUUGGAGUGUCUAAGCGAUAGCAGCCGUAGUUUUCUUCGCAUUUUUUCUUUCCUCUUGAUCAAGAUGGGAUAGUAUUUUCUUUCUAGUUUGUUUUCUUCUGUUUUGAGUUCUGCUUCGUUUUGAUAGUUGAGAUAGAUUUUUUUCCUUUCUAUUUUUGUUAGGUUCUGUGAGUUCUGAAAUUUGUAAGAGGCAUUGAACAAGACUCUGUCUAUUCCUAUUUGUACUGGCCAGAGAGCUUCCUGGAAUAGACGGAGUGAUAUCUGUGGGAGGGACCAUGGAAAAUAUUGAAGAAAUGUUGAGAAGGUUUAAGUUGUCUGAGGAGGAAAAGGAGGAAAUUCGUUUGGAUGAGGAGGAGGUGGCAAAAGGAAUUCUGGAAUGUAAACAAAGCUUGAUUGGUGAGGUGUGGGGGGACAAGUUGGCAAUAUAGGGGGGAUCAAGAGCUUUACAACUAAUAUGUGGUCUUAGGUGAAAUAUUUAAAGGUUGUUAAGAUUGGCCAUAACCUAUUUCGGUUCAUUUUUGAUAAGGAAAGGGAUAUCGAGAUGGUGUUGAGUAGGAAGCCAUGGAUCUAUGAUGGCCAACCUUUAAUACUGAAGAGGUGGGAGGCUAGUUUGGAGGAGGGUGAGAAAACGCUAAGUAGAACUCUUAUCUGGGUACAGAUCUGGAAUAUACCAUUACACUGGGUGACGAAGAAAGCUGGAAGGAAGAUAGGCAGUAUAUUUUCAAAAGUGGAAGAGGUGAUUCUGCCCCAGAGUGGAGGGAAAGAAGGUAAACACUUGAAAUUUUUGGUGGAAAUUGACCUGUUUAUUCCACUUAAUAGCAAUGGUGGAAAGAGAUGGCUUGAGUUCAAAUACGAAAAAUGUCCAGAUUUUUGUUUUGGAUGUGGUCUAAUUGGUCAUAGUGAAAAGAACAGUAGCAAAAAAGGAAUGAACAUGGGGAGGGAACCACAGUUUAGGAAUUGGCUAAGAGCAAGCUAUCCUCGUAGUCCUAAUAGGAGGACUAGGAGUGGAGAUAGGAGUGGGCAUAGGGAUGAGGAGAUGAAUCAAACACAGGACAACAGGGGGGAAGUAGGGGGGAACAUAAGCUUUAACAUACACUGAAGAAUUUCACAAGAAAGAGGAUCCAAAACAGGCUACUCAGGGGGAAUGGUAUAGGGACACUGCAGAGAUAAGGGAAGAGGAGAAGAUGGUACUGGUAGAAAGGGGGACUGAAGAGAUUGCAAAGGAAAAGAGGGAGGGGAGUCAGGGAAAGGGAGGGAUAGAGGAGGCCAGGAAUAGAGAUUCUGGAGGGGGAACAGGCUGAUAGAGGAGUGGAGACACAUGGAUUUGCAGGGGGGAUAGGGUCAGAGGGAGUAAGGGAAGAAUCUGAUGAUCUGAUGUGGCUGGAUGGUGUUGGAAGGGAGGGAAAUGAGGAUAAGAAUGCCAAGGAAGAAGAGGAAGGGAGAGAGGGGGAGGUAGUAUCUGAGGUGGGGGAAAGAAGAGGUAGGCUGGUUAAGGAGAAGAGCGGGAGUAAAGGGAACUAUACGGGUGGUAAGAGCUGGAAGAGAUUGGUACUGGAGGUAAGCAAGAGAAAACCAUUGGGAGAGGUCAAUAGAAAGGUUGCUGGAAUUGAGAAGGGAAAGAGAAAGAUGGAAGGGAGGGACUGGGAAGAGGCAGUGAAUCAGACAGGCAAGGAAAAUGGGAAGAGGAUCAGGCUUGAGAAUGAACUGAGUGACUGGAUGGAUCUAACUAAGGAGUUGGAGUCCUCCCUAAAUAGGACUCAAAUGUAGAAAUGAAGGUUGUGAUGUGAAACUGGUGUGGAGAGCCCCUUGACAGUUCCCUAACUGAGGGAGGUCAUCAGACUCCACUCUCCUUCUCUAGUGUUCUUGUCAGAACAAAGAAGAAAAAAAGCUAUAUGCAUAAAGUAAAGCAAUGGACAAAAUUUGAUAAUGUUUUUGUGGUUGAUCCUGUGGGUAAGGCAGGAGGUUUAGCUGUAUUAUGGAAACAGGAACUAACGGUGAAAAAGGUGCUGUUUACAAGCUUCACUAUAGAGUUAUUAAUAGAAGAUGUUGAAACUAGAGUAAACUGGUGAUGUAUCUGUGUUUAUGCGAGCUCUGAUGCUGGUGUUAGAAGAGAACAGUGGAAGGUUGUAACCAGAAGAAGUGUCUUGUGGGAUGAGUAUUGGGCAGUCAUGGGGAAUUUAAAUGACAUUACUUCUAAUGAAGAGAAGUGGGGGGUAUUCAGAGAGCUGAGGUAAGAUUCCAAGACUUCAACUCUUUUAUAAAUACUAAUGAGUUAGUUGAUAUUGGGUUUGAAGGGAUUCCUUGAACCUGGUAUAAUAACUGGGGGAAUGAGGGAGAAAUGAAGGAAAGGUUAAAUAGAAUUUUGGGUUCUAGAGGCUGGAUAGGGAUGUUUGAUAAGGCUAAAUGUCUACAUGUUGAAACUGAGGCUUCUAACCAUUGUAUGCUAGUUUUGGACACAAAGCCAGUGGGAAGGAAAUGGAAGAGAAGGUUCAUGUUUGAUAGAAGAUGGAUGAUGCAGAAGGAUAUAAGGGAGGUUAUUGGGAAAGCCUGGGGUGAGGAGCAACAGGGAUCCAGAUUGUAUAAAGUAAAAUGUAAGAUAAAAAAGGUUAGAAUGGAUUUGCUGAGUUGGAGUAAAGAGAGUCGUUGGAACUCAAAAAAAUAGAUUGAGCAAGUAAAGAGGGAGAUUGAGGAGAUGAAGGAGCACAAGCCUUGUGGCUAUAUGAUCAAGCUAGCAGGCCUAAAAAGAAAGUUAGCUGAUGCUUAUAAGAGGGAAGAGCUUUUCUGGAGUCAGAAGGCAAGGGUAAAAUGGCUUAAAGAAGGUGAUAGGAAUACUAGCUUCUUUCAUGCAUCUGUUGUUGGGAGGAGGAAGCGGAAUAGAAUUAGUUGGUUACAGAAAAGGAGUGGGGAAUGGUGUGAGAAUGAGGAGGAAUCAAGGAAGGAAAUUAUUGACUAUUUCCAGGAUAUUUACACUUCAGAAAAUCCAAUGGAUUUUGCUGAGAUUUUUCAAGGUGUCCCACAGACAGUCACUCCGGAGAUGAACAGGAAGUUGACCAGGCCUGUCACAGAAUAGGAAAUCAGACAAGCUGUCUUCUCAAUGCAACCAAACAAGUCUCCAGGACCAGAUGAUAUGCCUCCUUACUUUUUCCAAAAAUUUUGGCAAAUAGUUAAAUCUGAUAUAGUUGAUGUUGUCCAAAGCUUUUUACAUUCUGGUCACCUUCUGAAGUCUAUUAAUGAGACCUUAAUCAGCCUUAUCCCUAAGACUGAGAAUCCAAUAUCUAUUACUGAGUUUAGGCCCAUUAGUUUAUGUAAUAUCAUUUAUAAAAUCAUUUCUAAAGUGCUGACUAGCAGGUUUAAGAGUGUUCUGAACGUUUGUAUUAGUGAGUCCCACUCUGCUUUUGUUCCUGGCAGACAGAUCUUAAACAAUGUCCUGAUUGCCCAUGAAUGUGUCCAUUUCCUAAAAAACAAGAGAAUUGGGAGGGAGGGCUAUAUGGCUAUCAAAUUAGACAUGUCCAAAACUUAUGACAGAGUGGAAUGGGUGUUCUUGGCUAAAAUGAUGCAGAAAAUGGGAUUUUGUCCUAUGUAAAUUCUGUGGAUUAUGGAGUGUGUUACUAGUGUCACAUAUUCUGUUAACAUUAAUGGGGAAAAAAUUGGUUUUAUUAAGCCUACUAGGGGACUGAGACAAGAGGAUCCUUUAUUCCCUUAUUUGUUCCUGAUUUGUGCUGAGGGACUGUCUUCUUUGAUUAAUCAAGCUAAUUCACAAGGUUUGUUGACAGGUAUGAGAGUAGCUAGGGGGGCUCCUAGAUUAUCCCAUUUAUUUUUUGCAGAUGAUUCUUUGAUUUUUUGUAAGGCAAGUGGUGAGGAGGCAAGGAAACUGAGGAGUAUUUUGGAGGUAUACAAGGAGGCUUCUGGUCAGCUGAUUAAUAUGGAGAAGUCAUCAUUGUUUUUCAGUAGAAAUGUGAACCUUAGGCAAACAGGAGAGGUGAUGAGGGAAUUGCAGGAAAUGAGGAAGGUGGUGCAAAGUAAGUACUUAGGACUACCUUUGGUUAUUGGGAGGUCCAAGAGACAGGUCUUUGAUUUCAUAAAGCAAAAAAUAAUAAUUAGGCUGUAGGGAUGGAAGGAGAAGCUGCUGAGUCAAGCUGGAAAAGAAGUAUUACUAAAAGCUGUUAUUAUGGCACUGCCAACAUAUGUGAUGUCUACCUAUUUGGUGCCAAAGGCUGUGUGUAAGGAAAUAUGUUCAGAGAUGGCAAGGUACUGGUGGGGACAGAAGGUUGAGGAGAAUAGGAUCCUUUGGUUGAGUUGGGGGAAGCUAACAGAGAUUAAGGCAGAAGGGAGGCUGGGGUUUAGGGAGUUGUAUGAAUUUAACUUGGCUCUGUUGGCAAAGUAGUUGUGGAGAAUUCUGACAAAACCAAACUUACUGAUGAGCAAGAUUAUGAAGGCCAGAUACUUUAAAGGGAUAUCCAUAAGGAGGACAAAGAGUGCUGGGACUGACUCAUGGUGCUGGAAAAGCUUGCUGCAGGCCAGGUGCCUUUUAGAAGAGAGGGUAAGGAAGCAGGUAGGGGACGGUAAAUCUAUCAACAUUUGGAAGGACAGAUGGCUUCCAGAAACUGAGGAUGGAAGCGUAACGACUAGGAAGGAGGAGGGGGUAGAGGUGCAGAGAGUGUGUGAGCUAAUCAAGGAUGGAGUAUGGGAUAGAGAGUUGAUUGAUCAGAUUUUUGAUAAGAAUGAAGGCAGGAAAAUUAUGAGCAUUCCACUUAGCAUGGAGCCUAGAAAGGACAGGUUAUAUUGGGAGUUCUCAAGUACUGGGGUGUAUACAGUGAAGUCUGGGUAUAGAUUGGCCAAAAGCAAGAAAAGGAGGGAGAGUCAAGGGAGGCAUGGAGCAGAAUCCAGUAGUAGGAAGGGAAGUGCAACUUAGAGUUGGAACUUCUUAUGGGGAUUGAAUGUGAAGCAUAAGCUGAAGCAUUUUAUCUGGAAAUGCCUGGAAGGCAUUUUACCAGUGAAUGCAGUGAUUAAGGAUAGGUGCUUGAAAGGUGAUCACAUGUGUAGGGGGUGUGGUGAGAGUGCAGACCCCAUUGAGCACAUGUUGUUCUUCUGCAGUCAUGCUUUGGCUAUUUGGAAAGCUGCCUCUGUGAGCUGGAGGGUCUGGAGGAUUACAGAAGUAAAUUUUGGUUGUGGUAGGAAGAAUUGAAAGGAGCUGCGGAUCAGGAGUUGGGAAGUGAGCAUAUAGUACUGACUAUCAACCUCCUUUGGCAAAUUUGGAAGUCAAGGAAUGAGAGACAGUUCAAUGGCCAGGGAAGGAAUCCUUUAGCUGCAGUUACCAAGGCAGUGGGGGAAUGGAAAGAGUUCCAGGAUGCUCAAAAAGAGGAGAUGGACUUUCAAGGCAGCAACAAGGGUGAAGGUGAGGUUCCCAAUAGCUGGAGUUUGCCUCAGAAGGGUUGGAUUAAGAUAAAUUCAGAUGCUGCAUUACAACAGAAGGAAGGUUUGGCAGGUUGGGGAAUGGUUGCCAGGGAUUGGAAAGGGAAGGUGCUAGGAGCUUGGGCAAUACCAAACUCUAGUUGUUCUAAUCCAAAGCUGGAAGAAUCAAUGGCAUUAAGAGAAGCCAUGGUGAAGGCGAAGCAGCAAGGAUGGAGAAGGGUGAUGUUUGAAUCAGAUUGUCUUAUGGUGGUGGAAGAGAUCAAUAGGGAGCAAACUAAUGUGAUAGGAUCAGUAGUGUUAUCUGAUAUCAUGAAACUUAGAACAAAAUUUGACGAAUGUUGUUUUACUUUUACCCGAAGAAUAAACAACUAUGUUAGUGACAAACUUGCCAAAAUGGCAUUAAACUUGAGAGAACAAACUGAAUGGAAGGAUGUCUUCCCAGUCUGGCUACUUGAGCUGGGGCAAGCAGAUGUUGCGGGCCGUUGCCCAUCUCUUAUGUAAAAGUUUACCUUUAUCAAUAAAAUAUUGCCGUUGAGACAAAAAAAAAAAAAAAAGACUUUCCUGUGGUAGCAGCUACCAGAGCCUUUCCCCAAGAGAGGAACUAAAAUUCCAUUUUGAUGCAAACUCUCUGGGUUUUCGAGCAGGUCGAAAGUUUUAUCGUUGAUUAGUGCAUGUUUGUAUCUGAGUCUAGGUAUGUUGUGAGAUUUUUUCUUCUUUUUAUUUUUUUAAUGAUAAUUGGAUUUACAUGCUUGACAUGGAUUAUCCAUUUAAAUCCACCAACUUAUGUGAAUUUAAUUGGUCGUCCAUUUAAGUCCAUCAAAAAAAAUUUUUUGUCAUCCAAAUCUAUUUUGAGUAUGGUUUAUUUGGAUGGAUAAAUGGAUGUGAAUCCAAAUUGGCACUUCUAGUAGAGAGGCUUUAAGAGAGUCAGCAGCCUCUCUGUUCAUGAGUUCUCGUUUUUAUUGUGUAGCUGCAGCCGUGUGAAUAGUGGAAGAAGAAAAUUCCCUUUGCCUUUUUGACCGAUCUCUUGUGAAUUUUUUCUGUGGGCUUAUGUUUGUGAUUGAUUUGGGUCAUAGACAGUAUUCCUUAGAUGGUCGACGGUUUUUAGUUUAUAUGUCUAUCUAAAAUUUUGAGAAAUGAUAUGAAUCAAAACUAUAAAUCAUGGGAGUGAUUAUCAUAUUUACAACUGUCCCUCCUCUCCAUUCCAUGGCUGCUGAUGUGGUAAGCUUAGACAAUCAAAACAGUUUUUUUCUCUUGGAGUGGGAAAUGUAUAUUUGGAUUAUAUCCUAUUAUGGACUCACAAUAUUUUUUUUUUUUUGAGGAGAACAAAAGGAUGUAUUAAUUAGAUUGUUGGAAUUUGUCCAACACCAAUUAUUUGACAAAGGUCAAAAGAGAAUUCUAAAGAGAUUCAAGUGGCUAUUCACAAUAUUCAUAUAGCUAUUCUAGACGAGAAAUAAGGUCCCGUAUGGUAAAUAAGUUUUUUGGGUGUUGGUUUAAAAUUUUACUGUAACUUAUUAUAGAUGUUGUAAAAUUUUUUUUUAAAAUAUAAAAGUUUUUUUCUUUUCUUCUUCUUUCUUUCCUUUUCCUUUUCUUUGCUCUCCACGUCUUCUCCCUCACCUUACCACUGGCUGUCCGCGGGCGUCGAUAGUUGCAGGGAGGGAGGGGGAGGGUGGCAGGGGAGGGAGAGGGGAGGAGGAGAGAAAAGGAAAAAAAUUUGCAGCUGCUAGCGUCGAAGGCGGUGGUAGGUUGAUGUGGGGAAGGAAGAAGAAGAAAGGAAAGAAGGGAUAUUUUUUGGAAUUUUUUUUGGUAUUUUUGAAGUGUGUAUUUUAAAAGUUUUGAAAUUUUUUUUGAGAUUAUUAUAAUUAAAAUUGUUUAAAAACUUGUAAAAAAAAAAAAAAAAAACUUGGCCAAAAACUCUGCUUCCAAACAGGGCCUAAAUUAUCUAUUGAUUGAUUUGAACGUGAUCGGUAUAUACGGAAUACUUUCUAGUUUCUAAUAAGCAAAGUGCACUAAUACGCAAAGUACACGAUAACACUGGCUCUGAAUUGUAAAAAACAAAAAUGAUAAUACUGCAUAUGUUUUGAUAACUCAUUAUCUGAAUUUUUUGUUACAUUUUGAAAAUGUUUUUCAAUGACUUUUUAAAUUUUUUAAUAUUUUUUUACUGCACAUAUAUUACGUAAUAAAAGAAUGCUUUAAUAAAUAAUAUAACAAAUAAUUCUGAAUAAUCUUCAAUCCAAAUAAUGAACGUUCGAACAGUCAAUCUGACCAAAGUGAAUGGCUAUGACAUGGAAAGCAUAAUGGGACCUCUUGAGUCUUGACCAGAUAACAUAUUGCUCUAUUCUUCCACUAAUGCUCGCAGUUGACGGUGGUAUGUUGCUGUCUACAAUAAAUAUAUGUAGAAAAAUGCAGGCACUCAACAAAACAAAACAAAAAUAGUCAACAUCAAUUGUUGCUAACGCCGUCAUGGUUUUCAUGAAUUAGACAACAAUCUAAGAACGAGCUAAAAGAACACGUACUAUUGAUAAGAUCACUUCUUGCAAAUUACAAACAAUGAAUAACUUCUUGAACUGGUACAAAUUUUUACAGCACUCAGAUUCUCACACAUCCCAAUGAUGUGGUCAAAAGACAGCUUCAUAUUAUAUGAUACCACAGGCACGAACAAUUCCAAGUUUGAAGCUCUAAAAUUACAUUCACCAAUACACCGAUUAAACAACAUAAACAUGAAAAGAAGAUAAACCAUGACUUUGGCCAAAUGGUUUUAUUGCCAUCUUCCUCAUCAUUUAUC